AGGAGGUGAUCAAGUCAAUAUCUUGUAAGGGCAAUCCAAUCAAGAAUUUCUUUUACUUCGACGCCGCUGAUGGUAAAGGGGCCAUGGAGGACAUCCCCCCAACUCCUGAAGACUGAAUCACGUGAUACCUAACUCUCAUCCGACAUCGCUCGCUGAUAAUUGUACCCAAUCAUCAGAGUCGAACAUGUGACAACUCUAGUUCGGUGGCUGAGGCUGGAAACUCAACUUAGCAUUUUAGCGUUUUUAUUGUUGUACUUAGCGUUUUAGCGAUGGCAUCAUGCUAUGACACCUGAGAACUGCAUUAAACAGAAUUGACAUUCUCCUCCGAACAAUUUCAGAGCUGAAGGCAGGCAGGCUAUUGAAUGGUGAAAUGCUUUAUUCGUACUCUCCUCUUGCAUUAGUAGUGGUUAAUGAUUGCAAUACAAUAUAUCACACACACACGAUGACACGAUGAAAGAAUAAACAGUGGUACACUCUUCUUCCCUCGGUGCUUCCACAUUGUCAAUCGCCAACCAUCGUUGUCAAGUAUAGUCGUUUGUUGGUGAUUCUUGGAUGAACGGGUGCUGGAUUCAGACAUUUGAAUAUGCAUGGGUGUUCAAAAUGACAAAAAAAAUCAACAUGGAAGAAAUGAANNNNNNNNNNNNNNNNNNNNNNNNNNUGAAAACACUCUGCCAGUUACUCCUAAUUAAUCUGUUACAAUUGAUAAACACAUAUGAUUGAAAGAAUAAACAAUGGUACAAGAAAAGCCCAUGUUCAACUAUUGCUUCCACAACAGUGUUUUUUUUUUGGUUGCCGAUUCUCGGAUGCUUAUGCCAUCACCUCCUGAUGAAUCCAAGCAGGAACGCCAAGAUGAGCAUGAGAAUAGCAAAGAUGAAGCCCUUCCUGCCUAGUAGCCAGUCCUUUGUCUUCUUUGCUGCUUGGACUCCUCGCUGUGCUCUGCCGAUCCAUUUCAUCAUCGUUUCUAAAUCUUGUGGAGAGACCGAAGACAUAGCCUGUUGAGCGUCGGCAGCAUCCUCUUUGGACAACUCGAUACCAAACUGCCCGCUAAUGUUUGCCAUCGCUUCAGGGCUCAUGUUCUCCAUCAUGGAUGACAACAUCUCCCACAUAGCAGGGUCUGCCAUACCAACCAUGCCAGUCGGCAUAUUGGAUCCAAAAUGUGGAGCAACAGGGACCUGAGACAUAUUGAUCAAGCUUUCUGAAGAAUCAGACUGUCUCGAGCUUCGUGCUUCGUCGUGUGGUUGUGGUUGUGAAACAGUAUGCUCAGUAGUAGAAGAAGAAGAAUUCUGUUGAGCGGUUGACAGAUCAGAACUAACAUCUUCCUCUACGAUUUCUUCAAUAACAAGUCCCUUUGGCACGUUUUCUGCUGCCUCCCCUUGGGUUGCAAGUUUUUCUUGUGCCUCUGUCAGAACUUGAGCGACAGUUUCAUCGUCCGGAGACAUUUCAUGGGCUUUACUUAGGUCAGCAACAGCAGCCUGGAGGUUUCCCAGCUCCUUGUAUGCCUGACCCCUUCGGUAGUACGCUUUGACGGUGCCCGAGUCAUAGCUCAAAACCUCCGAGCCUUCGUUGACGCACUCCUCAAACUCGCCUAGUUUCAGGUAACAUGCCAUCAGAUUAACGCUGCACUGCAGCUGCAGAUCGCGCCCGACCGGCGACGGCACGCCGUUCUUCACGUUAUCCCUGGCGAGCUUGUACUUGGCGGCGGCGUCGGCGUACUGCCCGUCGCGGUGGAGCUGGUUCCCCUCCCGCUUCAGCGUCUUUGCGGCGGAUAUCGCGUGCGACGUCUGUGCGUCGGCUUGGGCCUUCAUGGCGGCGAGCUCCUCGGGCUUGGCCUUGGCGAUUUUCUCCGUCAUGUCAACCAUCUCUUCUGGGUUUGUUUGGUUCAGGUGCUCGGCGGCUCGCUUGAAGUCGUCGGCCGUCAUGUUCUUCAUGCUCUCGGUCGCGAGCUUCAGCAGGUCCGGGUUGGACAUGAGCUGCCGCUGCAUCCUGGCGAGGUCGUCGGCGGGUAUGCGCCGCAUCUGCUCCUCCGCCACCCGCAUCAUCUCCGGGUUCAUCAUGGCCAUGGCGACCCCGACAGGCAGAUCCAAGACGUCGACGAUGGAUGGAUCGACGCGAAGACCGGGAGCUCGAGGUUUUGGGAAUCACCUCUCGACGAGGUGUGUGUGUGUGUGUCGCCUUCUCUUUUCUUUUCCGUCGCUUCUGGUUUAGCUGUCGAUCCUUCAGCUCAUGCUGCAAUUUAUAGACGGGGGUUUGGGAGGGGAGACGAAAACCGAGUCCAAUCCGAAAGCGGAAUCACUCUCAGACGAUUCUAUGGACGCCAAACGCACAGGGGAACUGGGCCAGACCAUCAUCCUGUGCAGGCAGUUUCGUUUUUUGCUUUUUUGUUGUCCUUUUUUCUNNNNNNNNNNNNNNNNNNNNNNNNNNNNNUCGUUCUUCUGUUCCUGUUUCAUUUUUUUCUCUUUUUUUCUAUAUUUAUUUUUUUAAACAAAUUUCAUGUUUGAAAAUUGUUUUUGAAAUUCAGAAAAUAUUUUUGCUUUUAUAAAAAUGUUCUAAAUAAAUAAAUUCUGUUUUUAAAAAAUAUUCGUAACUUCAAAUAAUGUUCGGGAUUUUACAAAAAUGUUCGACAUUUUCAAAAAAUGUUCACGAUUUUAGAAAAAUGUUCACGAUCUUAGAAAAAUUACGUUUCUAGGUGUUAUCGAUGUUUGUGUUAUCUCGACACUUUAACCAAAGAGCGUCAUAUAGAAAAUUUCGUAUAGAAGAUAGAUACAACACCACGGAGCCUGCCAUUGAGACCUCAGACCAAAACAUAACCGUGGAGGAUACGUAUUGCAGCUCGCCAUUAGUAACUCAAUUAUCAGUGACGGGUGUUAGUUUGUGCAAACUGAUGCCCGCCACCGGUAAGUUUAUAGUAGUGGCGGGCAGAUGUUAGCAUGGUAAGUGGUAAUUUUUCAGAUUAACAGUGACGAAUGAGGGAGGCCGGGACCUUAGGGGUCCUCGGACCGCCGAUCUAUUUCUUGUGGUCCGAACACGUGCACCGUUGUGUGACUAUUCCUUGAAGGCUGUGCUAUAAGGCGACUCCGUGUUCAGGAAGAAACCUCCAAAGCCUUGGUGUGUUCUCCAAUUCAAGAUGGUAGAAUCAACAUGUUUAUUCUGUGAUGGAAACCGACCAUGUGUAACCAUAGGUAUCCCCGGUGUCUAUAUAAAGUGGAGGGUUUAGUUCGUAGGGGAGAGAACCAUCAUCCUACUCAUCUAGGGUUCAGUUCAUCUCUUCUCGUGGUAGAUAGACUCUGUAAUCAUCAUACACACAUCAACGUAAUCAAGCUGGACGUAGGGUUUUACCUCUUCGAGAGGGCACGAAUCUGGGUAAAUAUUGUUCCUGUGUUUCGUGUUCCUCAUUGAUCCAAGAUCCACAACUCGGGACCCCCUACUAGAGAUCUGCCGGUUUUGACACCAACAUUGGGUCUUCCAUUGGGAGUCCUGUUGUGGGAUCGCCAAAGGAUCGAUGGCUCGCCUAAUCAUUAGCAGAGACAUUUGCAGCAGAGAUGUAUUCAUCCCUGGACAGAUCUUCGCGUUCGGUAGCAUCGCGCGGCACGCUGAUUUGACCAUCCACUUGGGCCAGGUCAGAAGUUUCACCCCCGAUCAGGAGAUCAGGUUUGGGAACCUAGAGUUCAUCGCCGACUCCUGAGGUGAUCUGGUCCUUACUGGGCUCUCGGCCUCACCCCAUGAGCCUCGAAAUCCCUAAGCUUUAACUUCGGGCCCCGUGCUCGACCCCGUCUCUAGGUCGAUUCUUACCUUGGAUCCGGCUUUGAGCUCGGAUCCGAUUAUGGCAUCCGAAGACCAGGGGCCAACCUUGGCCGAGCACACUCCUUGUGCCGACACUCCAGAAUCCAACCCCGAAGGACUGGAAGACUAAUCCGUCUAACCUCUCGCUAUUGAAUGAGACGCUGGCUCGGAUCCACACAAUGAACAUUAUGGAUAGCUCGGCUCUGCCCUAUGAUCGGAUAGGAUUUGAGGCAAGACUCGGAGAAUUUUACGUCCCACCCACCACCCACUUGGUAGGCACUAUCAAAGAUUGACCGAUAUGUUGGUCUACACCUCUGAGGAGGCCGAGGACAUGGAUGAACAGGUCGACGCCACUACGCCUCCUCCCACCACUGGACGGUGGACAACCACCUCCACCUACGAUUCUACAUGAUGGACACCCCCAACGAUAAGGGCGACGACACCACUGGGAAGAGCAGCGAUGGAACCCCCGGAAGGAACGACGACAUGCCCGACCAGGAGCCGCCCAAGCGUCGAUGUCAGCAUUAAUGAUCCAAGGGGUGCAAGGGUAAGGGAAGCAAUAUGGGCGCCGGAGAAAAUGAUACCACAGACAAUAUGGAAGACCUCGGCAACCCUAUUGCCUCCAAACAACAACUCAAUGACUCGGAGGGGCACAAGGAUCAGUAUAACCCUGAGGACCUCAAUGACUCCGAGGACAUCAACUACCUUCUUCUCUUGGAACAGGAAGUUAGCCUCGAAGCCGAUGAUUGCAUCAUCCCCGAGGACCCGCUGGUUAAAGAACGGUUCAAGCAACAACUUAUAGCCAUCGCCCGAAGCCUGAAGAAGAAGCAGAAAGAGCUAAAAACCAAACAAGAUACCCUCAACGACAGAUGGACGAGAGUCCUAGCAGACAAAGAAGGGUACAUCAAUGAACGACUAGAUCAAAACAAAAAUUACCCGCACGGAUGUUUGAUGCCACAAUUCGACGAUGAGGCCCGUGAGCCCGCAAUCCCUAGACGCACUCAUACUAGCGACGAUGUAUACUGCCUCAAGGGCUUGGUACCAACGAUACAUGGCACAAAGGCAAUGCAAAAGGGGAAGAGCGGCCUGAUACGUCUCAAACCUAUCUAUAAUUUUUGAUGGUUUCACGCUGUUAUCUUGUCUUCUUUGGAUGUUUUAUGUACCUUUUUAUAUCUUUUUUGGGACUAACUUAUUAAUUUAGUGCCAAGUGCCAGUUCCUGUUUUUUCUGUGUUUUUGACUCUUUUCAUAUCUGAUUUUGGAAUGGAGUCCAAACAGAAUAAAAACCCCGAAAUGAUUUUUUCCCGAACGGAAGAAGAUCAGAGGGCCUCUGGGCCAAGCCAGGUGGGCUCCAGGGAGCCCACAAGCUCCCACUCCGCCACCAGGGAGGAGGCGGCGGUGUGAGGGCUUGUGGCCUCCCUGGCCGCCCCUGACCUAGAUCCUUGGCCUAUAUAUUCCCAAAUAUUCAGCAAAAAAUUAUGGGAGCCUCGAAAAUACUUUUCCGCCGCCGCAAGCUUACGUUUCCGCGAGAUCUCAUUUGGAGACCCUUCCCGGCGCCCUGCCGGAGGGGACUUUGGAGUUGGAGGGCUUCUUCAUCAUCAUCAUCGCCCCUCCAAUGAAUCGUGAGUAGUUCACUUCACACCUACGGGUCCAUAGUUAGUAGCUAGAUGGCUUCUUCUCUCUCUUGGAUCUUCAAUACAAAGUUCUCCAUGAUCUUCAUGGAGAUCUAUCCGAUGUAAUCUUCUUUGGCGGUGUGUUUGUCGAUAUCCGAUGAAUUGUGGAUUUGUGAUCAGAUUAUCUAUGAUAUAUAUUUGAGUGUUUGCUGAUUUCUUAUAUGCAUGAUUUGAUAUCCUUGUAAGUUUCUCCGAGUCUUGGGUUUUGUUUGGCCAACUAGAUCUAUGAUUCUUGCAAUGGGAGAAGUGCUUGGUUUUGGGUUCUACCAUGUGGUGACCUUUCCUAGUGACAGUAGAGACAGCAAGGCACACAUUAAGUAGUUGCCAUCAAGGGUAAAAAGAUGGGGUUUUCAUCAUUGGUUUGAGAUUAUCCCUCUGCAUCAUGUCAUCUUGCUUAAGGUGUUACUCUAUUCUUAUGGACUUAAUACACUAGAUGCAUGCUGGAUAGCGGUCGAUGUGCGGAGUAAUAGUAGUAGAUGCAGAAAGUAUCGGUCUACUUGUUUUGGACGUGAUGCCUAUAGAUAUAAUCAUUGCCAUAGAUAUCGUCACGACUUUGCGCAGUUCUAUCAACUGCUCGACAGUAAUUUGUUCACCCACCGUCUACUUGCUUUCAUGAGAGAAGCCACUAGUAAACACUACGGCCCCCGGGUCUAUUCACAUCCAUCGUUUACACCUCCUCUUUUACUUUGCUUUGUUACUUUGUUGCUUUCAGUUCUCACUUGGCAAACAAUCUAUAAGGGAUUGACAACCCCUUCAUAGCGUUGGGAGCAAGCUUUUGUGUUUGUGCAGGAUCUUGAGAUACUCUUCCACUGGAUUGAUACCUUGGUUCUCAAACUGAGGGAAAUACUUACCACCACUACGCUACAUCACCCUUUCCGCUUCGAGGGAACACCAACGCAAGGCUCCAAGGCCACGGGGGAAAUCCUUUGCAUACUUGCCUAGGAAGUCCCUUAAGGCGUAGCCACAGCUGAAGGAUUCCUGGCACCGUUGCCGGGGAAGAGGAUCGCUUGCCGAGGAAGAUCAAGACAAGAAUAAUCUCGCGUCAACACUCCUAUUUCUGGCGCCGUUGGAAGAUCUUUUGUUGCAGUAGCAGAAGUAUUUCUGGCGCCGUUGCCAGGGAGGAGAAAUAAAGAUCUAUCCAAGUAGGUCUCACAAACUCUUCUCUUGCAUUUACUUUUGUUGCCAGUUGCCUCUCGUUUUCCUCUCCCCCACUUCACAUUUGCCAUUUUCAUUUGCCUUUCUCCUUCGCCAUUUUUUUUGCCUUUUUGCUGUUUUCUUUUGCCCGUUUCACUCUCCCUUCCUGCUCGUUUGUGUGUGAGAUAGUCCAUCAAUGGCUAGACCCACCACUCAAAACGACACCCCUGAAAAUGAAGUUCUCAAUUUCAGGGAGAAUGAGGAAGAAAAUUUGAAGGACGCUUGGUACAGGAUUUGCAAUGCUCAAAGUAGAUCUACUCGUAAGCAAUCCACUACCGUCCUCCUUCGCAGUUUCUAUGUUGGAAUUUCUCCUUGGAAUAGGUAUAUCCUUGAUACCAUUGUAGGCGGGAACUUUUUGGGGAGCCAUACUGUUGACUCCUAUAGAGCUAUCAUGAAUUUGGUAGGCUCACCCCCGCUCAUGGUUAAUGGAACUAUCUUGACGUUGGAACACGUGAUGCAAAGGCUUGACGCUAUUGAAAACAAAAUUGCCACAGUUGAACUUAUUGAGGUUUGGAUAGAAAGAUCCACAAUCAAAUUACUUAGUACGAAUCCAAAGUGGGAUUUUUUUAAAAAAUUUAAAGGAGAAGGAACUUAUAGUUAAUGAUUCUUCUAGAAUUGGCAAAUUAGAAGAUGUCAUAAUCAACUUGGGUUCCGCUUUUGCCGCUGUGCAAAAUACUCCAAAUAUUACUCUCAAAAAGACCGUCAAGCCUGUUUUUGUUCCUAAAGCUAGUGGUGAGUCAUCUAAUAAAGAUGAAAAUCUUAAGAUGAUAAAUGAUCACACUACUUAUGGUUUGAGCACCAAAGAUGACUAUACGUGAUUCCAUCAAAUUUUGCCUAGCUAAGGGCGUUAAACAAAAGCGCUUGUUGGGAGGCAACCCAACGAAUUUAUCCUUUUUCUUUAUGUUUUGUGUUUUCCACACUUUCAUAAUUCUGUUAUGAUUGUGUAUUUUGUGUUUCUUUUUGUGUUUGUGCCAAGCAAAACCGUUAUGAUUAGUCUUGGGGAUGAUCGUUUGGUCAUGCUGGAAAAGACAGAAACUUUCUGCUCACGAAAAGAAUUUUCAUUUUUUUUUUCUGUAAGAGCUUUUGAGUUGAUUAUUUUUGCUGCUCAUUGAUACGAAAAUUAUUGAGACUGUCGUAAUUUGUUAGAAUUUUUGGAGUACCAGAGGUAUACGAAAUAUACAGAUUGCUACAGACUGGUCUGCUGUUAACAUAUUCUGUUUUUGUUGUGUUGAUUGCUUAUUUUGAUGAAACUAUGGAUAAUAUCGGGGGGUAUUAGCCAUGGAAGGUUGAAAGUACAGUAAUCCAACAUCAGCACAAGUAGAAUUUAAGUUUGCUACAGUACCUAAGGAAGUGGUGGUUUGUUUUCUUGUACUAAUGUUAUCACGAGUUUCUGUUUAAGUUUCGUGUUGUGAAGUUUUCAAGUUUUGGGUGAAGUUCUUAUGGACAAAGAGAUAAAGAGUGGCAAGAGCUCAAGCUUGGGGAUUCCCAAGGCACCCCAAGAGAUUCAAGGAUGCCGUAAAAUCCUAAGCUUGGGGAUGCCCCGGGAAGGCAUCCCCUCUCUCGUCUUCAAUCCAUCGGUAACGUUACUUGGGGCUACAUUUUUAUUCACCACAUGUUAUGUGUUAUGCUUGGAGCGUCUUGUAUCGUAGGAGUCUUUUAUUUUUGUUGUGUCACAAUCAUCCUUGCUGCACACCUAUAGAGAGAUACAUGCACACACCAUGAUUUUGUCGAGCUUCACUUAUAUCUUUUGGUAGACAAUUCGGGUCACAUGUGCUUCACUUAUAUCUUUUGAGCUAGAUACUUUUGCUCUCUGUGCUUCACUUAUAUAUUUUAGAGCAAAGCGGUGCAUGACUUGGUAGUUGAUCUAUGCUUUGAAAGUAGUCUCAAAAGGGGUAGUUAUCCAAAGGGAUACGAAAACUUCCACGUUCAUGUGCAUUGAAUAGUUAGAGAAGUUUGAUUCAUCUCAAUUAGUUUUGAGUUGUGGUUAUGGUAAUAUUGAAGUCAUGCUAGUAAGGUGUUGUGGAUCUAGAAAUACUUGUGUUGAAGUUAGUGAUUCCCGUAGCAUGCACGUAUGGUGAAUCUCUAUGUGAUGAAAUCUGAGCAUGAUUAGUAUAUUGAUUGUCAUCCUUUGCGUGGCGGCCGGGAUCGCGCGAUGGUUUAUACCUACCAACCCUUCCCCUAGGAGUACGCAUUGAAUGCUUUUGUUUCGAUUACUAAUAAAACUUUUGCAACAAGUAUAUGAGUUCUUCAUGACUAAUGUUGAGUCCAUGGUUUAGAUGCACUUUCACCUUCCACCAUCACUAUCUUCUUAGUGCCGUGCAACUUUCGCCGGUGCACAAAACCCACCAUUUGCCUCCCUCAAAACAGCCACCAUACCUACCUACUAUGGCUUUUUCAAAGUCAUUCCGAGAUAUAUUGCCAUGCAACUACCACCAUGACAUGUGCCACCACGUCUAUAUUGCUAUUGCAUGAUCGUAAGAUAGCUAGCAUGAUGUUUCCAUUAAUGUCUAUGCCAUGCUAGAUCAUUGCCACGGUACACUACCGAAGUCAUUCCAUAUAGAGUCAUAGUUGCUCUAAGUUUUGAGUUGAAAGUGUGAUGAUCAUCAUUAAUGGAGCAUUGUCCCAUGUGAGGAAAUAAAAGAGGCCAAAGAAGCCCACAAAAAAAAGAGAGGCCAAAGAGCCUACCAAAUAAUAAAAAAAUGAGAGAAAAAGAGAGAAGGGACAAUGCUACCACCUUUUCCACACUUGUGCAUAUUAAGCACCAUGAUCUUCAUGAUUGAGAGUCUCUCGUUUUGUCACCACCAUAUAGCUAGUGGGAAAUUUUCAUUAUAUAACUUGGCUUGUAUAUUCCAAUGAUAGGCUUCCUCAAAAUUGCCUUAGGUCUUCGUGAGCAAGCAAGUUGGAUGCACACCCACUAGUUUUCUUUAAGAGCUUUCACAUACUCGUAGCUCUAGUGCAUCAUUUGUAUGGCAAUCCCUACUCAUUCACAUUGAUAUCUAUUGAUGAGCAUCUCCACAGCUCAUUGAUAUGCCUAGUUAAUGUGACUAUCUUCUCCUUUUGUCUUGCAACCUCCACCACAUUCCACACCAUCUAUAGUGCUAUAACCAUGGCUCACGCUCAUGUAUUGCGUGAGAGUUGAAAAGGUUUUAGAAAGUAAAGGUGUGAAACAAUUACUUGGCCAAUACGGGGUUGUGCAUGAUUUAAAUUCGUUUUGCAAUAAUGAUAGAGCAUAGCCAGACUAUAUGCUUUUGUAGGGAUAACUUUCUUUUGGCCUUGUUAUUUUGAAAGUUCAUGAUUACCUUGCUAGUUUGCUUGAAUUAUUAUUGUUUCCACGUCAAUAGCAAACUAUUGUUUUGAAUCUAAUGGAUCUGAACAUUCACGUCACAUAAGAGGAAUUACAAAGGACAUCUAUGCUAGGUAGCAUGAAAGCAUCAAAAAUUCAUUCUUUAUCACUUCCCUACUCGAGGACGAGCAGGAGUUAAGCUUGGGGAUGCUUGAUACGUCUCAAACGUAUCGAUAAUUUUUGAUGGUUUCACGCUGUUAUCUUGUCUUCUUUGGAUGUUUUAUGUACCUUUUUAUAUCUUUUUUGGGACUAACUUAUUAAUUCAGUGCCAAGUGCCAGCUCCUGUUUUUUCUGUGUUUUUGACUCUUUUAAGAUCUGAUUUUGGAACGGAGUCCAAACGGAAUAAAAACCCCGAAAUGAUUUUUUCCCGAACGGAAGAAGAUCAGGGGGCCUCUGGGCCAAGCCAGGUGUGCUCGAGGGAGCCCACAAUCUCCCACUCCGCCACCAGGGGGGAGGCGGCGGUGUGAGGGCUUGUGGCCUCCCUAGCCGCCCCCUGACCUAGAUCCUUGGCCUAUAUAUUCCCAAAUAUUCAGCAAAAAAUUAGGGGAGCCUCGAAAAUACUUUUUCGCCGCCGCAAGAUUCCGUUUCCGCGAGAUCUCAUCUGGAGACCCUUCCCGGCGCCCUGCCGGAGGGGACUUUGGAGUUGGAGGGCUUCUUCAUCAUAAUCAUCGCCCCUCCAAUGACUCAUGAGUAGUUCACUUCAGACCUACAGGUCUGUAGUUAGUAGCUAGAUGGCUUCUUCUCUCUCUUGGAUCUUCAAUACAAAGUUCUCCAUGAUCUUCUAGGAGAUCUAUCCGAUGUAAUCUUCUUUGGCGGUGUGUUUGUCGAGAUCCGAUAAAUUGUGGAUUUGUGAUCAGAUUAUCUAUGAUAUAUAUUUGAGUCAUUGCUGAUUUCUUAUAUGCAUGAUUUGAUAUCCUUGUAAGUCUCUCCGAGUCUUGGGUUUUGUUUGGCCAACUAGAUUUAUGAUUCUUGCAAUGGGAGAAGUGCUUGGUUUUGGGUUCUACCAUGUGGUGACCUUUCCUAGUGACAGUAGGGGCACCAAGGCACACAUUAAGUAGUUUCCAUCAAGGGUAAAAAGAUGGGGUUUUCAUCAUUGGUUUGAGAUUAUCCCUCUACAUCAUGUCAUCUUGCUUAAGGCGUUACUUUGUUCUUAUGGACUUAAUACACUAGAUGCAUGCUGGAUAGCGGUCGACGUGUGGAGUAAUAGUAGUAGAUGCAGAAAGUAUCGGUCUACUUGUUUUGGACGUGAUGCCUAUAGAUAUAAUCAUUACCAUAGAUAUCGUCAUGACUUUGCGCGGUUAUAUCAAUUGCUCGAUAGUAAUUUGUUCACCCACCGUCUACUUGCUUUCAUGAGAGAAGACACUAGUAAACACUACGGCCCCCGGGUCUAUUCACAUCCAUCGUUUACACCUCCGCUUUUACUUUGCUUUGUUACUUUGUUGCUUUCAGUUCUCACUUGGCAAACAAUCUAUAAGGGAUUGACAACCCCUUCAUAGCGUUGGGAGAAAGCUUUUGUGUUUGUGCAGGAUCUUGAGACACUCUUCCACUGGAUUGAUACCUUGGUUCUCAAACUGAGGGAAAUACUUACCACCGCUAUGCUACAUCACCCUUUCCGCUUCGAGGGAACACCAACGCAAGGCUCCAAGGCCACGGGGGAAAUCCUUUCCAUACUUGACUAGGAAGUCCCUUAAGGCGUAGCCGCAGCUGAAGGAUUCCUGGUGCCGUUGUCGGGGAAGAGGAUCACUUGCCGAGGAAGAUCAAGACAAGAAUAAUCUCCCGUCAACACUCCUCUUUCCGACGCCGUUGGAAGAUCUUUUGUUGCAGUAGGACGACCUCGGGAGGAAAACGGGAAAAAUAUUAGGUACUUAAGAUAAAAGUGCCCCACGAAUGUUUUCACGCCCCCACGAGGCGCAUCUACGUAACUAUUGGAAGAAGAGCGAGGAGGGAUCACAUUGGAGAGCCACUGUCGACGUCGUCAGUGGUCGUACCGCCAUCUUCACUGGACCCCUAUCCGACAUGAGUGAACUGUCCCAACACGCUUGCUACAUGGUCUUCCAUCGCCCCCAAGAUUGCCUUGAAGCUCCUCAAGGACCGGGCAUAACACCUGGUCGAAGUCCAAGUUGUGGCGACGCGUAGCAGGUUGCUCAAGAUGCGGGUCGACGCGUGGCUCAUGAGGUCAUGACACUCAGCAUCGUAGAUCUUGUUCCAUUGGACGGACCCUGCCUCAAGCUGCUCCACGAGCCUCGUGAAGAAGUCCAGGUAGCUGGAGUCACCGAUUUCCCAAGGGUUCUCCAUCCUCUGACGGAAAAGGCGGCAACGGCACAACGGUGUGCUACAUGAGCUCUUUGAACAUCUUGGAGCGCGCAUAUUGUUCCUCGCAUCUCUAGGCGGCUUCGUCAAAAGUACGUUGCACCUCAUCACAAAUGUCUCCCACCUACGCCUCAAGCUCCUCCAGGUUACGGUGCUCCGUGGCUUGGAGUUACGUCGUGCUCCGUUUCUCGGCCUCUAACGUCGCGAGCUGCUGUUUGAUUGCCGCAAUUUUGACGUUAAGCUUGCCUUACCUCUUCAUGAAGUGGUCCUCUUGCUUCUACAUGUUCUUGGAGUAGCUGUCGGAGAGGACCUGGGUCCUCCGCGCAAGCUCGUCAUGGGCGUACCUGUUGAUCUCCGCCUUGCACUUUGCAGCCCUCUUGCCGAGCGCGACGUUGGUUUUCGCAAGGCGUUCCUUGUAGAAAGCCUCGCUAGUCGCCACGACGCGAUCCAGGUUUUCGUGGUGCUCUCGCUCCCUCUCCUGCUCGAUGGUGGUGUGCAGCAGUUCACGCUCCCGGACCUCCAUGUCUAGCUUCAUAAUCGUCAUCAUGCCCUCAGGUUCGGCGACCGCCUCCUCGGAGGAGGCGAGUUGGGCCUCACAGUCUGUAGUGUGCUUCACGAGGGCCUCCUCCUCUGACGCCACCUCCUUGAGGCGUCGGGCGCCCUCGUCCGCGUCUUGGAUCGCCGCGUCCAGGAGCUCCUAUGCCUUCCGGAUGACUUCUUGCAUUCCCCCGUGCACCACCAGCCUUGUGGCGGCCCAGCUUGACAACCACAUGCAGCUACCGCCAGCCUUCCGCAAGGUGCUCCCGCUCCUGGCGGAGGAACUCCUCCUCGGCCAUUUGGUCAGCCUUCAGGGAAAUGAGGGCCGAUCAGGCGUGGUGCAGGGUCCUGUUCCGCAACAGGUUACUAUGUCUCACUAGGGAUAGUGCCGAGGACGCGCCCAGUCCCUCCGGCUCCGGCCCAUGUAGCCCUGAAGACCCGGGGGCUGCUGCGUCAUUAGGUUGGUCCAGGUCUCUUCCCGAGGGGACCUCGCUCCACUCUGGGCCGCCGAGAUCCUCCUCAACUUCCACCUCGACUCCCGCUCCAGCAGGCAGCUGGAUCGCGCGAGGAAGGCUGGGCGUGGUUGCCUCGAACUCGUGGCUACCUGGUGAUCACUCGAGGCUUGUGGUGGCCGCCAAGUCGGUGCCCACCUCCCCCUCGGCACGGUCCUCUUACGGAGGCCUGAUAACCCACAAGUAUAUGGGAUCGCGAUAGUUUUCGAGGGUAGAGUAUUCAACCCAAAUUUAUAAAUUCGACACAAGGGGAAUCUAAGAAUAUUUGUAGGUAUUAGCAGCUAAGUUUUCAAUUCAAUCACACAUUGAUGAGUAGCACAGUAAUAUGAUAGUUUUGAUAGUAGUGGCAAUAGUAGCAGCAACGGUAAUAGUGAUAACAAUUUUGUAGAAGUUGUAACGACAGUAGCAACAAUAGUAACUUAGCAAGCACAAUAUGUCGAAAACUCGUAGGCAGUGGAUCGGUGAUAUUGCUGGAUAAUAUUCAUCAUAUCACAGUCACAACAUAGGGCGACACACAACAUAAGGCGACAUAGAACUAGCUCCCGUUCAUCGAUAUAAUGUAGGCAUGUAUUCCGUAAAUAUUCAUACGUGCUUAUGGAAAAGAACUUGCAUGACAUAUUUUGUCCUACCCUCCCGUGGCUGCGGGGUCCAUAAGGAAACUAAGGGAUAUUAAUGUAUCCUUUUAAUAGAGAACCAGAACAAAGCAUUAAAACAUAGUGAAUACAUGAAAUCCUCAUACUACAAUAAUCAUUGGAAAAAAUCCCAUUUAUUGCCACUUUGGGGUAUGCGGAUCCUAACACGUAGUAGGAGCAGAUAACUUGCAAGAUCGAAUCAUGAACAUAGAUAUAAUGGUGAAAAGAGAAGCGUUUCAGAUCUGAAAUCAUGGCACUCGGGCCAUAGUGACAAGCAUUAAGCAAAGCAAAGUCAUAGCAGCAUCUGUCUCCGAACAUAGUGGAUACUAGGGAUCAAGCCCUAACAAAACUAACUCGAUUACAUGAUGAAUGUCAUCCACCUCUUCACUGACCAGCAAGCCUACGAAGGGAUUACUCACUGCCGAUGGAGAGCAUCAUGGAAUUAGCGAUGGAUGAGGGUUGUGUGACGACAAAGACCGAAGAUUCUCCUCUCCGGAGCCCCAAAUGGACUCCAGAUUAGGCCUCCUGAUGAAGAAUAGGAGGUGGCGGCGGCUCCGUAUCGUGAAAUCUAUUGGGGAACGUUGCAUGGGCAACAAAAAAUUUCCUACGCACACGAAGACCUAUCAUGGUGAUGUUCAUCUACGAGAGGGAGAUCGGAUCCACAUACCCUUGUAGAUCGCUAAGCGGGAAGCAUUAAGAAACGCGGUUGAUGUAGUGGAACAACUUCGUGAUUCAAAUCACCGUCGUCCCAGGAUUCAUCCUGAUCUAGCACCGAAUGGACGACACCUCUGCGUUCAGCACACGUACAACUCGAUGAUGAUCUCCGCCUUCUUGAUCCAGCAAGAGAGACGGGGAAGUAGAUGAGUUCUCCGGCAUCUUGACGGUGUGCCGGUGAUGGCGAUGAUCUAUUCCGCCCGAGCUCCGUAGAAAAUCGAUCUAGAGGAAGAACUACGAACUAGAGGUUUAGGGUUGCAUGUGGCAAAGUUGUGUCUCAAAAACCCUAAAACCUUAAGUAUAUAUAGGAGGAGGGGAGGGGCUAACCUAGAGGCUCAAGGGAGCCCCAAGGGCGUCGGACGAAGGGAGGAGGAGGGACUCCUACUCCAAUUCGGUUUGGAAGGAGGAGUCCCUUCCUUCUUCCCACCUCCUCCUUUUUUUUCUCCUUUGAUUUUCUUUCCUUAGCCGAAAUAGCCCUCUUGGGCUGGCCUCACCAUCCCACGAGGGCUAUUUCGGCUAAGGAAAGAAAAUCAAAGAAGAAAAAAAGGAGGAGGUGGGAAGAAGGAAGGGACUCCUCCUUCCAAUGAUGAUCUCCGCCUUCUUGAUCCAGCAAGAGAGACGGGGAAGUAGAUGAGUUCUCCGGCAUCUUGACGGCGUGCCGGUGAUGGUGAUGAUCUAUUCCGCCCGAGCUCCGUAGAAAACCGAUCUAGAGGAAGAACUACGAACUAGAGGUUUAGGGUUGCACGUGGCAAAGUUGUGUCUCAAAAAUCCUAAAACCUUAAGUAUAUAUAAGAGGAGGGGAGGGGCUAACCUAGAGGCUCAAGGGAGCCCCAAGGGCGUCGGACGAAGGGAGGAGGAGGGACUCCUACUCCAAUUCGGUUUGGAAGGAGGAGUCCCUUCCUUCUUCCCACCUCCUCCUUUUUUUUCUCCUUUGAUUUUCUUUCCUUAGCCGAAAUAGCCCUCUUGGGCUGGCCUCACCAGCCCAGGGUUGGUGCGCCACCCAUGGGCCUAUUAGGUUCUCUCCCGGGUAGGUGGCCCCUCCCAGUAAAACCCGGAACCCAUUCAUCACUCCCGAUACACUACCGGUAAUGCCCGAAAUCUUUCCGGAAGCCAAAUGAAACAAUCCUAUAUAUCAAUCUUUGUUUCCGGACCAUUCCGAAAACCCUCUUGACUUCGUGAUCUCAUCCGGAACUCCGAACAAACCUUCGGUCAGCAACACCUAUAACUCAACUAUACCGAAACGUCACUGAACCUUAAGUGUGCAGACCUUGCGGGUUCGAGAACUAUGCAGACAUGAACUGAGACACUCCCCGGUCAAUAUCCAAUAACGGGGCCUGGAUGUCCAUAUUGGAUCCUACAUAUUCUACGAAGAUCUUAUCGGUUGAACCUCUGUGCCAAGGAUUCAUAUAAUCCCGUAUACCAUUCCCUUUGUCCUCCGGUAUGUUACUUUCCCGAGAAUUUAUCGUCGGUAUCCCUAUACCUAUUUCAAUCUCGUUACCGGGAAGUCUCUUUACUCGUUUCGUAAUACAAGAUCCCGUGACUAACACUUUACUCACAUUGCUUGCAAGGCUUAUAUGUGAUGUUGUAUUACCGAGUGGGCCCCGAGAUACCUCUCCGUCACACGGAGUGACAAAUCCUAGUCUUGAUCCAUGUUAACUCAACGGACACCUUCGGAUACACACAUGGUAUUCCUACGGUGUCAGUGAGUUACAUGAUCUCAUGGUCAUAGGAAUGAAUACUUGACACGUAGAAAACAAUUGCAACAAAAUGACACGAUCACAUGUUGCGUUUAUAGUUUGGGUUUUGUCCAUCACAUCAUUCUCCCAAUGAUGUGAUCCAGUCAUCAAGUAACAUCACUUGUAUAUGGUCAGAAAACCUUAACCAUCCUUGAUCAACUCGCUAGUCAACUAGAGGCUUACUAGGGACAUUGUCUUGUCUAUGUAUCCACACAUGCAUUUAUGUUUUCAUUCAAUACAAUUAUAGCAUGGAUAAUAAACAAUUAUCUUGAAACAGGAAAUAUAAUAAUAACUAUUUUAUCAUUGCCUCUAGGGCAUAUGUCCAACAGUCUCCCACUUGCACUAGAGUCAAUAAUCUAGUCUCACAUCAUAUGUGAUUUACAUUGGAAUGAAUCUAACCCCAUACAGUUCUGGUGUUGAUCAUGCUUCGCUCGUGGAAGAGGUUUAGUUAGUCGAUCUGCAAUAUUCAGAUCCGUGUGCACUCUGCAAAUAUUUACGUCCUCUCCUUCGACAUAGUCGCGGAUGAGGUUGAAGCGUCGUUUGAUGUGUCUGGUCUUCUUGUGAAACCUUGGUUCCUUGGCUAGAGCAAUGGCACGAGUGUUGUCACAGAAUAGAGUUAUUGGAUUUAGUGUGCUUGGCACAACUCCAAGAUCCGUAAUGAACUACUUCAUCCAGACACCCUCCUUAGCCGCCUCCGAGGCAGCCAUGUACUCCGCUUCACAUGUAGAAUCUGCUACGACGCUUUGCUUGGAACUACACCAGCUUACCGCACCCCCAUUGAGAAUAAAUACGUAUCCAGUUUGAGACUUAGAGUCAUCCGGAUCAGUGUCAAAGCUUGCAUCAACGUAACCCUUUACGACGAGCUCUUCGUCACCUCCAUAAACGAGAAACAUUUCCAUAGUUAUUUUCAGGUACUUCAGAAUAUUCUUGACCGCCGAGUAGUGUUCCACUCCUCGAUCACUUUGAAACCUGCAUGCCAUACUUAUGGCCAGGCUGACGUCCGUUCUUGUGCACAACAUUGCAUACAUGAUUGACCCUACUGCUAAAGCAUAGGGGACGAUACUCAUCUUUUCUCUAUCUUCUGCAGUUACUGGACACUGAGUCUUACUCAAAUUUAUACCUUGUAACACAGGCAAGAACCCCUUCUUGGAUUGCUCCAUUUUGAACUUCUUCAAAACUUUAUCAAGGUAUGUGCUUUGUGAAAGUCCUAUUAGGCGCCUCGAUCUAUCUCUAUAGAUCUUAAAGCCUAAUAUGUAAGCAACUUCUCCUAGGUCUUUCAUUGAAAAACUUUUGUUCAAGUAAUCCCUUAUGCUCUCCAAAAACUCCACAUUGUUUCCAAUCAGCAAUAUGUCAUCCACAUAUAAUAUUAGAAACGCUACAGAGCUCCCACUCACUUUCUUGUAUAUACAAGAUCCUACAACAACUUGUAUAAACCCAAACGCCUUGAUCACCUCAUCAAAGCGCUUAUUCCAACUCCGAGAUGCUUGCACCAGUCCACAAAUGGAUCGCUGGAGCUUGCCUACUUUGUUAGCAUUCUUUGGAUCGACAAAACCUUCGGGUUGCACCAUAUACAACUCUUCCUUAAGAAAACCAUUAAGGAAUGCCGUUUUGACAACCAUCUGCCAGAUUUCAUAAUCGAAAAAUGCAGCUAUUGCUAACAUGAUUCGGACGGACUUAAGCAUCGCUACCGGUGAGAAUGUCUCAUCGUAGUCAACUCCUUGAACUUGUGAAAAACCCUUUGCCACAAGUCGAGCUUUAUGAACGGUCACAUUACCGUCCGCGUCUGUCUUCUUCUUAAAGAUCCAUUUGUUCUGAAUAGCCUUGCGACCUUCAGGUAAUACUUCCAAAGUCCACACUUUGUUUUCAUACAUAGAUCCUAUCUCGAAUUUCAUGGCCUCUAACCAUUUGUUGAAAUCUGGGCCCACCAUUGCUUCUUCAUAAUUCGUAGGCUCAUUAUUGUCUAACAACAUGAUAGAUAAGACAGGAUUCCCGUACCACUCAGGAGCAGUACGUGAUCUUGUCGACCUGCGAGGUCCGACAGUAACUUGAUUCGAACCUUCAUGAUCUUCAUCAUUAGCUUCCUCCUCAACUGGUGUUGCCUCGACAGAUAUUUCCCUCUACCCUGCGCCACCAUCCUGUUGGAGCAGAGGUUCCACAACCUCAUCAAGUUCUAUCGUCCUCCCACUCAAUUCUUUCGAGAGAAACUCUUUCUCAAGAAAAGCUCCGUUCUUAGCAACAAACACUUUGCCCUAGGAUAUGAGAUAGAAGGUAUACCCAACUAUCUCUUUUGGGUAACCUAUGAAGACGCACUUUUCUGCUUUGGGUUCCAGCUUUUCAGGCUAAAGCUUUUUGACAUAAGCAUCGCAUCCCCAAACUUUAAGAAACGACAACUUUGGCCUCUUGCCAUGCCAUAACUCAUAUGGUUUCGUCUCAACGGAUUUUGAUGGUGCCCUAUUUAAAGUGAAUGCAGCUGUGUCUAAUGCAUAGCCCCAAAACGAUAAUGGCAAAUUGGUAAGAGACAUGAUAAAUCACACCAUAUCUAGCAAAGUACGAUUACCACGUCCGGACACACCAUUACGCUGUGGUGUUCCGGGCGGUGUCAACUGUGAAACGAUUCCACAUUGUCUUAAGUUCGUACCAAACUCGUAACUCAGAUAUUCACCCCCUCGAUCAGAUCGUAGGAACUUAAUCUUCUUGCUACGAUGAUUUUCAACUUCACUCCGAAAUUGCUUGAACUUUUCAAAUGUUUCAGACUUGUGCUUCAUCAAGUAGAUAUAUCCAUACCUACUCAAAUCAUCAGUGAAGGUGAGAAAAUAACGAUAUCCGCUGCGCGCCUCCACACUCAUUGGUUCACACACAUCAGUAUGUAUGAUUUCUAACAAGUUACUUGCACGCUCCAUUGUUUCGGAGAACAGAGUCUUAGUCAUCUUGCCCAUGAGGCAUGGUUCGCACAUGUUAAGUGAUUCAAAAUCAAGUGACUCCAAAAGACCAUCUGCAUGGAGUUUCUUCAUGCGCUUUACACCAAUAUGACCUAAGCGGCAGUGCCACAAAAAGGUGGCGCUAUCAUUGUUAACUGUACAUCUUUUGGUCUUAAUGUUAUGGAUAUGUGUGUCAUCACAAUCAAGAUUCAAUAUGAACAAACCUCUCACAUUGGGUGCAUCACCAUAAAAGAUAUCACUCAUAUAAAUAGAACAACCAUUAUUCUUUGACUUAAGUGAGUAACCGUCUCGCAAUAAACAAGAUCCAGAUAUAAUGUUCAUGCUUAACACAGACACUAAAUAACAAUUGUUUAAGUUCAUAACUAAUCCUUAUGGUAACUGAAGUGAGAACAUGCCGACGACGAUUGCAUCAACCGUGGAACCAUUUCCCACGCGCAUCAUCACUUCAUCCUUCGUCAGCCUUCGUUUAUUCCACAGUUCCUGCUUCGAGUUGCAAAUGUGCGCAACAAAACCGGUAUCAAAUGCCCAUGCACUACUAGGAGAGUUGGUUAAGUACACAUCAAUAACAUGUAUAUCACAUAUACCUUGUUUAGCGUUGGCCGCCUUCUUAUCAGCCAAAUACUUGGGGCAGUUGCGCUUCCAGUGAUCCAUCCCCUUGCAAUAAUAGCACUCUCUUUCCGGCUUAGGUCCAGCCUUGGGGUUCUUUGUCGGAGGGGCAAAAGUUUUGCAGCUCUUCUUGGAGUUACCCUUCUUGCCUUUGCCGCUUUUCUUGAAACCAGUGGUCUUAUUGACCAUCAACACUUGAUGUUCUUUUCGGAGUUCUGACUCCGCGACUUUCAGCAUUGCAAAUAACUCGUCGAGUGACUUAUUCAUCCCUUGCAUGUUAUAGUUCAACACAAAGCUCUUGUAGCUAGGUGGCAGUGAUUGAAGAAUUCUGUCAAUGAUAGCGUCUUACGGGAGUUCAAUCCCCAGCUCAGCUAGACGGUUUGAGUACCCAAACAUUUUGAGCACAUGUUCACUGACACACGAAUUCUCCUCCAUUUUGCAAGCAUAGAAUUUAUCGAAGGUCUCAUACCUCUCGAUCCGGGCAUUCUUCUGAAAGAUAAACUUCAACUUAUGGAACAUGUCAUAUGCUCCAUGACGUUCAAACCGUCGUUGAAGUCCCAGUUCUAAGACAUACAAGACUGCACAUUGAACUACUGAGUAGUCCUCCUUAGUGCUUGUCAAGCGUUCAAAGCAUCUUGUUCAGACGUAGCAGGUGGUUCAUCUCCUAGCACUGCAUCAAGGACAUAAUUCUUUUUACCAGCUUGUAGCAUAAGCCUCAGAUUACGAGCCCAGUCUACAAAUUUUCUACCAUCAUCUUUCAGCUUAGCUUUCUCUAGGAACAUAUUGAAAUUCAGGGUUGCUACUGCGUGAGCCAUUGAUCUACAACAUAAAAUAUUGCAAAGUUUACUUAGACUAUGUUCAAGACAAUUAGAGUUCAGCUAAUCAUAUUACUAAUAAACUCCCACUCAAAUAGACAUCCCUCUAGUUAUUUGAGUGUGGCAUGAUCCAAAUUCACUAUGUCAAGUCCGAUCAUCACGUGAGUUGAGUGUAGUUUCAGUGGUAAACAUCUAUAUGUUAAUCAUAUCAACCAUACGAUUCAUGCUCGACCUUUCGGUCUCUUGUGUUUCAAGGCCAUGUCUGUACAUGCUAGGCUCGUCAAGUUUAACCCGAGUGUUCUGCGUGUGCAACUGUUUUGCACCCAUUGUAUGUGAACGUUGAGUCUAUCACACCCGAUCAUCACGUGGUGUCUCGAAAUGACGAACUGUCGCAAUGGUGCACAGUCGGGGAGAACACAAUUUUAUCUUGAAAUUUAAGUGAGGGAUCACCUUAUAAUGCUACCGUCAUUCUAAGCAAGAUAAGGUGCAUAAAAGGAUUAACAUCACAUGCAAGUCAUAAGUGACAUGAUAUGGCCAUGAUCUUGUGCUUCUUGAUCUCCAUCACCAAAGCACCGGCAUGAUGUUCAUCUUCACCGGCACCACACCAUGAUCUCCAUCAUCAUGAUCUCCAUCAACGUGCCACCAUCGAGGUUGUCGUGCUAUCUAUGCUAUUACUACUAAAGCUACAACCUAGAAAUAUAGUAAACGCAUCUGCAAGCACAAACGUUAGUUCAAAGAAAACCCUAUGGCUCCUGCCGGUUGUCGUAGCAUCGACGUGCAAGUCGAUAUUUAACUAUUACAACAUGAUCAUCUCAUACAUCCAAUAUAUCACAUCAUGUAUUUGGCCAUAUCACAUCACAUGCAUACCCUGCAAAAAGAAGUUAGACAUCCUGUAAUUUGCUGUUGCAUAUUUUAGGUGGCUGCUAUGGGUAUCUAGUAUGAUCGCAUCUUACUUACGCAAAACCACAACAGUGAUGUGCAAAUUGCUAUUUAACCUCUCUCCAAGGGCCACCUCGGUCAAAUCCGAUUCAACUAAAGUUGAAGAAACAAACANCUUUCGAGAGAAACUCUUUCUCAAGAAAAGCUCCGUUCUUAGCAACAAACACUUUGCCCUAGGAUAUGAGAUAGAAGGUAUACCCAACUAUCUCUUUUGGGUAACCUAUGAAGACGCACUUUUCUGCUUUGGGUUCCAGCUUUUCAGGCUAAAGCUUUUUGACAUAAGCAUCGCAUCCCCAAACUUUAAGAAACGACAACUUUGGCCUCUUGCCAUGCCAUAACUCAUAUGGUUUCGUCUCAACGGAUUUUGAUGGUGCCCUAUUUAAAGUGAAUGCAGCUGUGUCUAAUGCAUAGCCCCAAAACGAUAAUGGCAAAUUGGUAAGAGACAUGAUAAAUCACACCAUAUCUAGCAAAGUACGAUUACCACGUCCGGACACACCAUUACGCUGUGGUGUUCCGGGCGGUGUCAACUGUGAAACGAUUCCACAUUGUCUUAAGUUCGUACCAAACUCGUAACUCAGAUAUUCACCCCCUCGAUCAGAUCGUAGGAACUUAAUCUUCUUGCUACGAUGAUUUUCAACUUCACUCCGAAAUUGCUUGAACUUUUCAAAUGUUUCAGACUUGUGCUUCAUCAAGUAGAUAUAUCCAUACCUACUCAAAUCAUCAGUGAAGGUGAGAAAAUAACGAUAUCCGCUGCGCGCCUCCACACUCAUUGGUUCACACACAUCAGUAUGUAUGAUUUCUAACAAGUUACUUGCACGCUCCAUUGUUUCGGAGAACAGAGUCUUAGUCAUCUUGCCCAUGAGGCAUGGUUCGCACAUGUUAAGUGAUUCAAAAUCAAGUGACUCCAAAAGACCAUCUGCAUGGAGUUUCUUCAUGCGCUUUACACCAAUAUGACCUAAGCGGCAGUGCCACAAAAAGGUGGCGCUAUCAUUGUUAACUGUACAUCUUUUGGUCUUAAUGUUAUGGAUAUGUGUGUCAUCACAAUCAAGAUUCAAUAUGAACAAACCUCUCACAUUGGGUGCAUCACCAUAAAAGAUAUCACUCAUAUAAAUAGAACAACCAUUAUUCUUUGACUUAAGUGAGUAACCGUCUCGCAAUAAACAAGAUCCAGAUAUAAUGUUCAUGCUUAACACAGACACUAAAUAACAAUUGUUUAAGUUCAUAACUAAUCCUUAUGGUAACUGAAGUGAGAACAUGCCGACGACGAUUGCAUCAACCGUGGAACCAUUUCCCACGCGCAUCAUCACUUCAUCCUUCGUCAGCCUUCGUUUAUUCCACAGUUCCUGCUUCGAGUUGCAAAUGUGCGCAACAAAACCGGUAUCAAAUGCCCAUGCACUACUAGGAGAGUUGGUUAAGUACACAUCAAUAACAUGUAUAUCACAUAUACCUUGUUUAGCGUUGGCCGCCUUCUUAUCAGCCAAAUACUUGGGGCAGUUGCGCUUCCAGUGAUCCAUCCCCUUGCAAUAAUAGCACUCUCUUUCCGGCUUAGGUCCAGCCUUGGGGUUCUUUGUCGGAGGGGCAANNNNNNNNNNNNNNNNNNNNNNNNNNNNNNNNNNNNNNNNNNNNNNNNNNNNNNNNNNNNNNNNNNNNNNNNNNNNNNNNNNNNNNNNNNNNNNNNNNNNAACUAGCAUCAACUACAAAGAGUAAUCAACACUACUAGCAACCUUACAAGUACCAAUCGGAGUCGUGAGACGGAGAUUGAUUACAAGAGAUGAACUAGGGAUAAGAGAGGAGAUGGUGCUGAUGAAGAUGUUGAUGAAGAUGCCUCCCCUCCGACGAGAGGAGUGUUGGUGAUGACGAUGGCGACGAUUUCCCCCUCCGGGAGGGAAGUUUCCCCGGUAGGAUCGUCCCGACGGAGUUCUAGAUUGGAUCUGCUCAAGUUCCGCCUCGUGGCGGCGGCGAAACCACGAAAAAGCUCCGGAUUGAUUUUUUCUGGACCAAAACCCUUCAUAUAGCAAAAUAGGUUGGCUAGGGGGUCGUUAGGCAGCCCACAAGCUUGCCCUGUGCCACCAGGGGGGUGGCGGUGGCAGGGCUUGUGGCGCCCUGGUGGCCCCCCUCCGGUACUUCUUUCGCCCAGUAUUUUUAUAUAAUCCCAAAAAAAUCCACGUAACUUUUCAGGGCAUUUGGAGAUGUGCAGAAUAGUGGACUAAGAUUUGCUCCUUUUGCAGUCCAGAAUUCCAGCUGCCUGAAUUCUCCCUCUUCAAAUAAACCUUGCAAAAUAAGAGAGAAAAGGCAUAAAUAUGGUACCACAAAGUAAUAUAACAGCCCAUAAAGCAAUAAAUAUCAACAUGAAAGCAUGAUGCAAAAUGGACGUAUCAACUCCCCCAAGCUUAGACCUCGCUUGUCCUCAAGCGAAAACCAAGUUCCAUAAACAUGUCCACAUGUUGAGGGACGAAGGUGUCGAUAAAACAUAAUACGGACAUGAGGGCAUCAUGANNNNNNNNNNNNNNNNNNNNNNNNNNNNNNNNNNNNNNNNNNNNNNNNNNNNNNNNNNNNNNNNNNNNNNNNNNNNNNNNNNNNNNNNNNNNNNNNNNNNUAAGUUUUUUUUUCAUUUCCUCUGUUUUUGUUUUUCUGUUUUGCUAAUUAAUUCAGCUCCAAAACAAAAAGUAAAAACUAUUUUAGACCUCCUGAAAUAUUUGUUAUAAUAUCCCCACUCAUUUCCAAGGUUUUCAACAUUUUUGGAAAUUUAUAGAUUCUGAUUUCAAAUUUUAAAGUUUGAAACCAAUGGCUUUUGCAUUUAUUUAAAAAGCUUAAGGUGUCAAGGAAAUAGUUUUCUCCAAUGCUCAUUUACUUUCAUGAUUUAUCAGAAAGUUUGAACAUUUCUUGAGGCCAUUUUGGGUUCAUUGAUUUUGAACUAGUUUGAGAUUUCCUUUAAUUGAAAUGGUGGCUAGGGUUUUGAGUAUUUCCUUUGCCACUUUGUUGUUUUUGUUGAAACUUCUUAGAUGAAAAUGCAAAGAAGACAUGAGCACAAUGCUAUCUUGCUUAAGGGUUAGGGAUGUGACAACUUAAAUGCAACAACAAACGCGAUCAAAAUCGCAACUAAGGUAACAAUUGACCCAACAGCAUAAUGAUACCAAGAAUCUUUAUCAAUGGCAUAUUUUCUAAUAUUCCUAAUCUUCAAGCGCAUUUCAUCCAUCUUCAAGCGCAUUGCAUCCAUCUUCAACCGCAUCGCAUCGAUCUUGAUCUUGCGAUCAUCGAUGACAUCGGCGACAUGCAACUCCAGUUCCAUAUUCUUAUCCUCAAUUAUUUUCAAUUUUUUCUUCAAGUAUUUGUUUUCUUUUUCAACCAAAUUUAACUUCUCGACAAGAAUUUUUAUGUGGGUUGGAAUUUCCGGUUCACAUACCUCCUAGAUUAAAAAAAUAUAUGUCACAUUGGUCGUCAUAAUUGUCAUAAUCACUAAAUAAAACAAAUAGUUAUAAAAGAUAAUAUAUACCACAUCCGAAUCAUAGACAGGACGAGGACCGACGGAGGCGGAUACCAAAACCAUCGCACUAUAUAAUAAGAAAAAAUAAUGAAAGUGAGUAAUUUAUACAAGUAUGUAUCUAAAUCAUACAAGUAAGAUUUUUUUAAUUUUANUAAUUUUAGAAAGAAGAUAAGAACAAGAGGCUCACCACGGUGGUGCUCGCAGUUGGUGCACGGCCAAACCUAGACAAAUAUUAAGGAAAAUGGAGCUUGGAGGUCGAGAUUGGAGAGGAGAAAGCUUAAGUAGAGUGGCUCGGGCAUUUCAUCGAACACGUCAUGUGCAUGAACUAGAGUGGAAAGAGCAUGGCAUGGUCACACUUCAACAACCAAAAAACAGGGGAUAUGGUGGGUAGGGGCGAGGGUUUAUAUAGGCAAAACUUUAGUCCCGGUUCUUUCCACGCCCCGGGACUAAAGGCCCCUGCUUCCCGCCUUCUCGUCAGCCGAAAAAGGGCCUUUAGUCCCGGGUCGUGGCUCCACNNNNNNNNNNNNNNNNNNNNNNNNNNNNNNNNNNNNNNNNNNNNNNNNNNNNNNNNNNNNNNNNNNNNNNNNNNNNNNNNNNNNNNNNNNNNNNNNNNNNAUACUAACAACAUUGCAAUCAUGCUCAUCAUUCACAUAUUUUAUGCCAAGCAUUCUAUGUAAUUCUUCUUCUAGCACUUGAGCACAAUUUUCCUUCCCAUCAUUUUCAUGAAAGACAUUAAAAAGAUGAAGCAUAUGAGGUAACCUUAAUUACAUUUUUUUGUAGUUUUCUUUUAUAGACUAAACUAGUGAUAAAACAAGAAACUAAAAGAUUUGAUUGCAAGAUCUAAAGAUAUACCUUCAAGCGCUAACCUCCCCGGCAACGGCGCCAGAAAAGAGCUUGACGUCUACAACACAACCUUCUCCUUGUAGACGUUGUUGGGCCUCCAGGUGCAGAGGUUCGUAGCACAGUAGCAAUUUUCCCUCAAGUCGGUGACCUAAGGUUUAUCAAUCCGCGGGAGGCGUAGGAUGAAGAUGGUCUCUCUCAAGCAACCCUUCAACCAAAUAACAAAGAGUCUCUUGUGUCCCCAACACACCCAAUACAAUGGUAAAUUGUAUAGGUGCACUAGUUCGGCGAAGAGAUGGUGAUACAAGUGCAAAAUGGAUAGUAGAUAUAGGUUUUCGUAAUCUGAAAUUACAAAAUAGCAAGGUAACUAAUAAUAAAAGUGAUCACGAACGGUAUUGCAAUGCGUGGAAACAAGUCCUAAGGUUCAUACUUUCACUAGUGAAGUUCUCUCAACAAUGAUAACAUAAUUGGAUCAUAUAACUAGCCCUCAACAUGCAACAAAGAGUCACUCCAAAGUCACUAAUAGCGGAGAACAAACGAAGAGAUUAUUGUCGGGUACGAAACCACCACAAAGUUAUUCUUUCUGAUCGAUUUAUUCAAGAGUCCGUAGUAAAAUAACACGAAGCUAUUAUUUCUGUUCAAUCUAUCCUAGCGUUCGUACUAGAAUAACACCUUAAGACACAUAUCAACCAAGACCCUAAUGUCACCUAGAUACUCCAUUGUCACCUCAAGUAUCCGUGGGCAUGAUUAUACGAUAUGCAUCACACAAUCUCAGAAUCAUCUAUUCAACCAACACAUAGAACUUUAAAGAGUGCCCCGAAGUUUCUACCGGAGAGUCAAAACAUGUGCCAAUCCAUAUGCAUAGGUUCCCAAUGUCACGAAACCCGCAAGUUGAUCACCAAAACAUACAUCAAGUACUCACAUGAAUAUCCCAUUGUUACCACAAUUAGACACGUGCAUGACAUACAUCAAGUGUUCUUAAAGACUCAAUCCGAAAAGAUAACUCCAAAGGGAAAACUCAGUUCAUUACAAGAAGGGAGAGAGGGAAGAACAUCAUAAGAUCCAACUAUAGUAGCAAAGCCCGCGGUACAUCAAGAUCAAGACAUCUCAAGAACACGAGAGAGAGAUCAAACACAUAGCUACUGGUACAUACCCUCAGCCCCGAGGGAGAACUACUCCCUCCUCGUCAUGGAGAUUGCCGGGAUGAUGAAGAUGGCCACCGAAGAUGUGUUCCCCCUCCAGCAGGGUGCCAGAACGCGCUCUCGAUUGGUUUUUGGUGGCUACAGAGGCUUGCGGCGGCAGAACUCCCGAUCUAGGUUUCUUUUUGGUGGUUUCUGUAUUUAUAGGAAUUUAUGGCGGUGGAAUUACGUCGUUUGGGCCCACGAGGAGGUCACAAGACUGCUAGGCGCGACCUAGGGGGGUCGCGCCUCCUGGGCUUGUGACUCCCUCGUGGCUCUUCUGGCCUUCUUCCUAAGCUUCGGGGGUCUCUUUUGGUCAAAAAAAAUCAUCGCGAAAGUUUUAUUCCAUUUGGACUCCGUUUAAUAUUCUUUUCUGAAAAAGGUCAAAAACACGGAAAAAUAGAAACUGGCACUUGGCAAUGAGUUAAUAGGUUAGUCCCAAAAACAUAUAAAAUAGCAUAUUCAUGCAUAUAAAACAUCCAAAGUUGACAAUAUAAUAGCAUGGAACCAUCAAAAUUUACAGAUACAUUGGAGACGUAUCAACUGUGCGGGUUCGACAACUAUGCAGACAUGACCUGAGACACUCUCCGUCCAAUAACCAAUAGCAGGACCUAGAUGCCCAUAUUGUCUCCUACAUAUUCUAAGAAGAUCAUUAUCGACCGAACCACGAUGUCAAGGAUUCAAUCAAUCCCAUAUAUUGUUCCCUUUGUCCAUCGGUAUGUUACUUGCCUGAGAUUCGAUCGUCGGUAUCUCCAUGCCUAGUUCAACCUCGUCACUAGCAAGUCUCUUUACUCGUACCAUAAUACAAGAUACUAUGACUAAAUCCUUAGUCACAUUGCUUGCGAGGUCAUUGUGAUGUUGUAUUACCGAGUGGGCCCUAGAGAUACCUCUUUGUCAUAUGGAGUGAAAAAACCCAGUAUUGAUUCAUGCCAACCCAAUAGACACCAUCGGAGAUACCUGUAGAGCACCUUUAUAGUCACCCAGUCAUGUUGUGAUGUUUGAUACACACAAGGCACUCCUUCGGUGCCUGGAAGUUGCAUGAUCUCAUGGUCAUCGAAAUAGAUACUUGACAUGCAGAAAACAGUAGCAAUAAACUGACAUGAUCACAUGCUACGUUCAUAGUUUGGGUUUUGUCCAUCACAUCAUUCUCCUAAUGACGUGAUACCGUUAUCAAAUGACAACUCAUGUCUAUGGUCAGGAAACCUUGACCAUCUUUGAUCACCGAGCUAGUCCUUUAGAGGCUCACUAGGGACAGUGUGUUGUCUAUGUACCCACACAUCUAUUUGAGUUUCCAAUCGAUACAAUUAUAGCAUGGAUAAUAAACGAUUAUCAUGAACAAGGAAAUAUAAUAAUUACUAAUUUAUUGUUGCCUCUAGGGUGUAUUUCCUACAAUAGUGCCUAGUGCCACUUGAUGUUUUUUGCUUCUUCUUUUACUUCACAAAAUAUCACUAUCAAACGGAGUCCAAAUUUCACAAACCUUUUUGGAUAUAUUUUUCUGCCCAGAAGACAUCAACGGGACCAAGGAAGCCAACCAGAGGUGUCCCAUGCUGCCCACUAGGAACCAGGGCGCACCUGCCUCCCCGUGGCGCGGUCUGGUGCCUAGUGGGCACCUCGUGGCCCUUCUUGGCGUGAUUCGAAUGCCAAAAAAUCCUAUAAAUAGAGAAACCUCCAGAAAUAACCCUAUAUGAGAAGUUCCAUUGUUGCAAGCCUUUUUAGCCAACCAAUCAGGAUUCCAUUCUAGCACCCUGUCGGAGGGGGAGAUAAUCUCCACUCGCCAUCUUCAUCCUCCCGGCGGAGACCAUAAUGAGGGAGUUGUCCACCCUCGGGGCUGAGGGUUUGUACCUGUAGCUAUGUGUUUAAUCUCUCUCUCUCUCUUGUGUUCAUGAGAUGUCAUGAUGAUGACAUAUCACAGGCCUUAUUAAUAUAGUUGGAUCAUAUGUUGUUUGUCCCAUGCUAUUGUUGUGAUGAAUUGAAUCUUUCACUUGAAGAUCUUGAUAUGUUGGAUUGAAUAUUCAGGUUUGAGAGCACAUGAUAUAUGUCUUGCAUGUGGAGACCCGUAGUGAAAUUGGGGUAUUCAAAUGAUUCACUUGAUAUAUGUUUUGGCACUCAACUCGAGGAUUCCAGGGGUGAAAUUGGGGUAAUCUAUGCAUAGGGGUUGAUGUACCUUUUCAUACUAUGUUUUCCGAUAGAAAUCUUGGGGUGCUCCUUGAAGUUCUUUGUGUUGGAUUAAAUAUGAAGAAUCUAAAAUUGUUUGAUGCAUGUUGUAUAAUUAGCCCAUGGAUACUUGGUGACAUUGGAGUAUCUAGGUUGAUUGAUAUGUAUCAAUGGUGCUAUUUUAGUACAAACUCUUGAAUAGUUUGAUCGGAAAGGAUAACUUGUUAUUCUAGUACGAACUCUUGGAAAGAUUGAUCGAAAAUAAUAACUUUGAGGUGGUUUCGUACCCUAAUUUUUUUUCUUCUUAUGUUCUCUGUCGGCCAUGCUAGGUCGACACCUAUGGGAAUAAACGUGAAACCCUUGUGAUCGUAGGGCGGGGAAAGACAAUGUCAAGAGCAGAGCUAACGGUCGGCACCCGGCAAGGCUUUUUACACAGGUUCGGCUCGUUUACGCAUAAAACCCUACGUCCUGCUCGUCUUGUUGUAUUAAGCGUUUUGUUGUUUGUUACAGUGACUGAUAAUAACCGUCUUCUGGCCAAUCUCCAAAAAGUCUAACCCAUUGUGAAUGAGAUAAGGGCCUCCUUUUAUAGGCAAAGGGGUCACCUACAGUGCUCGGUGGUAGGUUCACGAGAUGUUACAGUGAACCUAGAGCGAUGCUUAUCCAUCUACCGCUGUCAGGUGCAUUAAAUGCACGUCUUGUCCUUGCCAGCAAUGUGCUGGUGAAGACAUGUGUCCAGGCGUUUCGACACCUGGACACCGCGCUGGCGCAAGCAGAAUGCGCUGGAACUUGGGGGCGGUGGCACAGGGCAGAAGCCCUCCAGUGCCUAACCUCAUCAUCCCGACAAGGGAGCUUGCUGGGGCCUUGGGUCUUUGUCCCGACAAGGAAGCUUGUCGGGGGCUUCGAUUGUCAUCCCGACAAGGGAGGCUUGCCGAGGUCUUGUACUUGGUGAGCUCAUCACGUCUACUAAACGGGCAUGGCCUUGGUUAUCUUCCCGGCAAGGCAGGUGUGACAGCCCGGGACCGACGCUCCAGAAGAUUACCCUCUUUUCCAUUGUCGCCAUGUUAUUUUUUUCCGCAUUCGUCAUCACAUCAUUCGCAUCAUCCGCAUUACAUCGGCACUCCGUUGCCGCCAGUUUUCAAAACUGCAUCCGUUAUUAGUUGUCGGUUCUCUCCGUUUUAUCGUUGACCGUUUGAGACCAACCACACAGCACGCGCCCGCGACAUCGUUAAACUCUGUCACCGGGUUGUCGUUUUCCCUCUCGUCCCCACCUAGCCCCUCUUCACAGUGCACCGACCCUAUGCGCAGCCUAGUCUGAAAACCUCGCGAAACCAGAGCCGGGUGCUGGUGACCGUUGGGUCGAGAUCAACCCGGUUUUACUGCAAAUCGUCAUCGGUUUGUCCAUUGGUCAUCCUAACCUAAUUAUAUUGGCCGUCUGAUCUAAAUCGGAGGGCUCUAAUUAGACCCCAUUUAGUUUUGUUUGCUAUUUAUAUGUGAUUUAUCCCAACCUACCCUAACCCUAGGCUAUUCAGUCCCAUCCGUCGCCGCCGCAUACCACCUGGUCUCCUCCUUCCUCGGUUUCCAGAUCCAGCCAACCAGCGAGCUCCCUUGUGCCCGAUGGCAAUCUCUAGCAAUGGCUAGACGACUCCUAUUCUCGAUUUCUCAACAAUUAGAAAUUUUCUUGCAAUUACCCACCAGCGCGUGGGAUCGAGGCAGUUUUCGAGGGUAGAGUAUUCAACCCAAAUUUGUUGGUUCGCCAAUAGGAAGUGAGAGGACACUCUCAAGUAUUAGCAGCUAGAUGUGUCAGAUUUAACCACACCUGAAAGAUUAAUAUCUGCAAGCAAAGUAUCAACAGCAAAGUAGUAUGAUAACAACGGUGUCAGAAACGAUCUGUUGACGGCAGACUAUUCCUAACUGUCGUAUCAAUGGUGCUAGUAGUUGCUCGUUGACGGAAAUUGUCUUUUCCCGUCAACGCCGAGCGAAUCAGAAUUGUAGCAGGUAGCACAGUGUAACGAGUAGUAGCAGUGGCAAUGAACAACAGUAGUGACAGCAGUAGCAAGUAGCAAUAGUGGCAAGUAAUAGUAGAGCAAGUAACAGCAGCAGCAACACUAGUAACAGUAGCAGAGCAAAACAAGUAACAACAGCAAUGGGACAAACUCGUAGGCAAUGGGUCGGUGAUUUGUUUGGAUGAUAUUCAUCAUGCAACAGUUAUAACAUGGAGAGAUAUGUGGCUAGCUCCCGUUCGUUAAUGUGAUGUAGGCAUGCAUUCCAUGUGUCGUCAUACGUGCUUAGGGAAAAGAACUUGCAUGACAUCUAUUGUCCAUCCCUCUCGUGGCAGCGGGGUCCAAAAGGAAACUACGGGAUAUUAAGGUUCUCCUUUUAAUAAAGAACCGGACCAACGCAUUAGCACUUGGUGAACACAUGAACUCCUCAAACUAUGGUCAUCACCGGGAGUGGUUCCGGUUAUUGUCACUCCGGGGUUGCCGGGUCAUAACACAUAGUAGGUAACUACAACUUGCAAGAUCGGAUCUAAAACACACAUAUAUUGGUGACAACAUAAUAAUUUCAGAUCUGAAAUCAUGGCACUCGGGCCCUAGUGACAAGCAUUAAGCAUGGCAAAGUAGUAGCAACAUCAAUCUCAGAACAUAGUGGAUACUAGGGAUCAAUCCCCGUCAAAACUAACUCGAUUACAUGAUAGAUCUCAUCCUACUCAUCACCGCCCAGCGAGCCUACGAAUAGAUUACUCACGAACGAUGAAGAGCUUCAUGGAAUUGGAGAGGGAAGAAGGUUGAUGAUGACAAUGGCGACGAUUUCCCCUCUGUGGAGCCCAAAACAGACUCCAGAUCUGCCCUCCAGAUGAAGAACAGGAUGUGGCGGCGCCUCCGUAUCGCAAACGCGACGAAAUCUUCUCUUUUUUAUUUUUUCUGGGACGAAAGUGAAUUUAUAGAGCUGAGUUUGGGGGCGGCAGAGCCACGUGGGCCCCACAAGCUUGCUAGCCGCCACCAGGGGGUGGCGGCCACAGGGCUUGUGGCCCACUGGCCCAUCCCCUGCGGUGGAUCUUUGUGCAGGUAUUUUUCAUAUUUUCCAGAAAUAUUCUCCGUAAAUUUUCAGGACGUUUUGAGAACUUUCAUUUCUGCACAAAAACAACACCAAGGCAAUUCUGCUAAAAACAACGUCAGUCCAGGUUAGUUCCAUUCAAAUCAUGCAAAUUAGAGUCCAAAACAAGGGCAAAAGAGUUUGGAAAAGUAGAUACGAUGGAGACGUAUCAGUGCCCGAGCCAACCCAAUUCACCAACAUCCACCCAUGGAGACCGUGCUGCCUCCGCCGGAGCACCACCAUAGGUGAGCUCCCGUCAACCUCUUCCUCCCUCUCCUGUGUAUCUCUUCUUCCUCUCCUUCUCUCAUGGUUCUCUCGCUCUGUGCAGUAGUAACGCAAGCCACCUUCGGUCGCACGCAGCAGCCGUCGGAGCCCCUCCCAGCCGGAUCCACAACCUCGUGCCGCCGUGACCUCGCCCGUCGCCCGACCCGGACCGUCGCAGCCACCAGGGCGUGCCCCACGCGCAUCCUGCUCAUCACGCACCAAGGAGCUCGCGUUCCUAUUCGCGCCUCCUCCGUGAUAGGCUGCCGCCGUCUCCGCGCCACAGUACGCAGGAGCCUUGCCGCACCGGCCGCCGCUGGCGACCACCUGCUGGACGUGCGCCUUCCCGCGAGUCUCCGCGUGCAGCCGCUGCCUAGGCUGCCUUCCUUGAGCGCUGUCGCGAGCACAGCCAAGCUGACCCGGUAUAGCUUCAGAUUCAGAUGUGUUGUGUUUUCAGUUUUAUUCAGUUAGCGUCAGGGUAUCUUCAUCUUUUGCAAAACCCGUUUUAAAUCAUAGUUCCUUCGUAGACCAGUUGGUUAUUGCGCUCGCUCGCUCGUUACCAUGAGAUCCUAGGUUUGAGUCCGAGGCACUCCUAUUUUUUUGUGUGUGGUAUUUUCAUGUUGCACACGUUACACCUAGCCCGCACCUGUACCUUAGCCACGAUCACAGGUCUAGCCUAGUGGCGAGCGCCACACAUUUCUACUCAGUAGACCAAGGUUCGAAUCCCCGGCUACACACAUAUUUUUUUUACUACAGCGAGCCCAACAUAUUAGUGUGUUUCUGCACUUUUGUUGCAGCAUACGUAUCUGCAUAUUUAGAGUAAUGCCACUAUUUUAAAACGUCCAUAACGUUUCAGCCAUGCAUCGGACCGGAGUGAUUUAAAUAUGUAACUUGACUAAAAUUUCGCGUAGAUUAACAAUUUCCAACUUUCAUGCAUGUUUAAGGCUGUUAGCGUGCUGUUUGUGUCGGUUUGCAUGCCAACAUGUUAAAAACAGUUUAGGUCGUAGUUAAUUAACCGUCGCUCCGUUGGAGAUGAUCUAUAUAUGUAAAUCGAGUAGAACAACGUGUAGAAUCUCAUGCUCCACUUUUUUCGUUGUUUAACAAAUAUAAAAUGUGAUUAGGAAAAAUCUGGACAGAAUUAGAAAUUAACGCGUGUGGUCAUUUCGGAGAUGAUAUAAGUUGUUUCCGGCCUCAUUUAAAAUUCCUAGAUAUGUAGAUUAAUUUGUGCUUCACCCCUUGCCAUGUUAACAUCAUUUUAAUAUUGUCGUGUUCCUAAACAGGAGUGAACUAAACAAUUAAACGUGGAGUUUCGUCGAUAUGCAACUCGUUGCAUAUCGAGCUACACUUAAUGUGUAGUGUUUGCGUGAGGUGAAUUGCCAUGUCAUGCCUUGCAUUAUUGAACUGAUCAUGCAUCAUAUUAGGUUGUGCAUCAUGUCAUUCAUUUGUUGUGGUGAAUAACUGUGUUGAUGCUUGUUUUCCGUUUGCUCCGUCUCGAUAGAGUUCCGCAAGCGUGUCAGAAUAUGAGGACCCGUUCGACUAUGUCGGUUCGCCUGCUUCAUGGAAGCAUUCUUCUUCCAAGAGGGAUCUCGGGCAAGAUGACCAUUUCCCCAGAUAUCAUUACUAUCAAUGCCAUGCUAGUUGUAUCGCUUCUAUGACUAUGUCUCGUUGCCUACCACCUGUUAAACGUCAGGCUCUCAACAUUGCCAUGAAACCUUCAACCUAUUCACAACCUAGCAAACCACUGAUUGGCUAUGUUACCACAUGCUUAAGCAUGUGUUAGCAUUGCUAUUGCAGGUGCAGAUGCUUCCUUGUGAUAACAUGGGUUCGUUGUCAUAUCAGUCUAUUAAUUGCUAAUUAAAUUAGUGCACCUAUAUACUUGGUAAAAGGUGGAAGGCCCGGCCUUUCUAGCUUGGUGUUUUGUUCCACCUUUGCCCCCUUAGUUUUGGCUACAGGUGUUAUGUUCCAUAACUGAGGGCUCCUAACAAGAUCGGGGUUGUUAUGGGGACCCCCAACUUUGGUACUACAUUUGCCUAAUAACUAACGAACCGCAUAGGGAGUAAUUAACCCGAGGAAACUUAAUCAACCCCCGGGCCAGUGCUCCUUAUGAGUGUUGGUCCAACCCAGAGCAUUGUGCGGGGCCAACCUAGGGCAACUUGGGUGAUUUCUAUCAGGCCACCGUACACGUAGCUUAUCCGUCGUGUCGUGAGAACAAGAUACGCGGCUCCUAUCGGGAUCGUCGACACGUCGGGUGGCCUUCCUAGAUUAGUUUUACCUUUGACAAAAUAUCUUGUGCAUCAGGAUUCCGGUGAGACUUUGGGUAAUCUCAGAGUUGGGGUUUCCCACUAAGGAAUCCGAGGAGAUCACGAGUUUCAUGAUUGAGGUUUUCUAUGCGUCUUGUGGUAAUUUGUAAUGGACUAGUUGGAGCACCCCUGCAGGGUUAAGUCUUUCAGAAAACCGUGCCCGCGGUUAUGUGGCAACGUGGAAAACCUCCUCCAGGGCAAGAACGGGAUGUGGCGGUGCUUCUGGAUCGAAAACGCGAUGAAAUCUUCUCUCUUGAUUUUUUUCCGGGACAAAAGGGAAUAAAUAGCGCUGGAAUUGGGGGCGGCAGAGCCACGUGGGCCCCACAAGCCUGGUGGCCGCAGCCAGGGGGGAGGCCGCGGCCACAAGGCUUCUGGCCCAUUCGCUCGUCCCCUCUGGUGGAUCUUUGCGUAGGUAUUUUUCAUAUUUUCCACAAAUAUUCUCCGUAAAUUUUCAGGACGUUCCGAGAACUUUCAUUUCUGCACAAAAACAACACCAUGACAAUUCUGCUGAAAACAGCGUCAGUCCGGGUUAGUUCCAUUCAAAUCAUGCAAAUUAGAGUCCAAAACAAGGGCAAAAGAGUUUGGAAAAGUAGAUACGAUGGAGACGUAUCAUAGUUCCUAUUUGCAAUAAUAAGAACAUCAUUGAUCCUUCCCAUGGGUUUCUUGAUAGUAGAAUCCGCAAGAUUCAAAUUAAGGGAACACUCUUCAAUCUCAUUAAAACCCAGAACAUCACAUAAAGACUUUGGAAUCGCGGAAACACUAGCACCCAAAUCACACAAAGCAUUGCAUUCAUAGUUUUUGAUUUUGAUUUUCAUAGUAGGUUCCCACUCAUCAUGAAGCUUUCUAGGGAUAGAGACUUCCAAUUCAAGUUUAUCUUCAAGAGAUUUUAUCAUAGCUUCAACGAUAUCAUCGGUAAAGGCCUUGUUUUGGCUAUAAGCGUGUGGAGAGUUUAACAUGGAUUGCAUCAAGGAAAUGCAUUCAAUCAAGGAGAAACUAUCAUAAUUGAAUUCCUUGAAGUCCAAGGUAGUAAUUUCAUUACUACUCAAAGUUUUAAUAUCUUCUACUCCACUUUCAAUGCUUCUAGCAUCAAGAUAGAUGGACUCCAAAUCAUUGGGGCACUUUUCAACCAAAGUGGAUUCAUAUCCAGCCCCAUCAUCAUUAGGUUUGACACAAGAAAACAAAGAUUCAAUGGGAGUCACACCAAGCACUUUAAGAUCUUCGUGAUUCUCGUCACGAGUUUCAGGUUUAGCAGCCAUUUUAUUGACUAAAGUAGCCUGCUUAUCAUAAAUCUGGCCUACCAACUUUUCAAGACGAGCAAAUUGAGAAUUUAGCACAAGGAAUUAUUUGGCCAUAUCAUCAACCUCUCUACUCAUAAAAGGCAGAAAAGAAUUUUGCUCCUUCAAUUCUCUACGAAAGUAACUGUUGUAUUCAAACUAUGUAGACAUGAAGCCUUUAACACUAGUUUCAAUAUCUUCUAACUUCGCAUAGUGAGCAUCAAAAUCCCUUGGUUGGGCCAUUCGGGUUUUAGCAAGCAGACAAACGGGCAAAGAGCAAGCGGGAAAAAGGGCGAACGAAAAGGCAAACGGAAAAAAGGCAAACGAAAAAGGCAAAUUGGUGAAGUGGGGGAGAGGAAAACGAGAGGCAACUCACAAACAAAGUAAAUGCAAGAGAUGAGUUUGCGACACUUACUUGGAUGAGUUCUUGACUUGAUCCUCCCCGGCAACGGCGCCAGAAAUUCUUCUGCUACGGCAACAAAAGUCCUUCCCCGGCAACGCCAGGAAUUCUUCUUGCUACUUCUCUUGCUUGCGUCGGUUUUCCCUUGAAGAGGAAAGGGUGAUCCAGCACAGGAGCAGUAAGUAUUUCCAUCAGUUUGAGAACCAAGGUAUCAAUCCAGUAGGAGAAUCUUGUCAAGUCCAGAGUACCCGCACAAACACAAAGAGCUUGCACCCAACGCUAUAAAGGGGUUGUCAAUCCCUUCAAGAUUGAUUGCAAAGUGAGAUCUGAAGGCGGAAAGUGCAACAAAGGAAAAGUGUAAGGCUGAAAAUAUGGUGUGGAGUAGACCCCGGGGCCAUAGUGUUCCCUAGAGGCUUCUCUCAAAAUAGCAAAUAUUACGGUGGGUGAACAAAUUACUGUGGAGCAAUUGAUAGAACCGNUCCAUGAAGAUCAUGGAGAACUUUGUAUUGAAGAUCCAAGAGAGAGAAGAAGCCAUCUAGCUACUAGCUAUGGACCCGUAGGUCUAUGGUGAAGUACUCACGCAUCAUCGGAGAGGUCAUGGUGUUGAUUAAGAAGCCCUCCGUAUCGGAAUCCCCCCUUCGGCAGGGCACCAGAACGUGCCCCAGAUGGGAUCUUGUGGAGACAGAAGCUUGCGGCGGUGGAAAAGUACUUUCGAUGAUCUCCUAAUUUUUUUUGGAAUUAUUGGGAAUAUAUAGGCAAAAGACCUAGGGCAGAGGUGGCCCAGGGAGCCCACAAGCCUGGGAGGCGCGGGCCCCCCUGGCCGCGGCUAGGGGGCUUGUGGGGUACCUGGUGGCCCCCUGCCUUGGUUCUCAAGUUUCCCGAUCUUCUUCUGUUUCGGAAAAAAUCUUUUUGGAAGUUUCGUUCCGUUUGGACUCCGUUUAAAAUCCUCCUCUGAAAGGGGUCAAAAACACGGAAAAAACAGGAACUGGCACUUGGCACUGAGUUAAUAAGUUAGUCCCAAAAAGAUAUAAAAGGCAUACAAAACAUCUAAAGUUUGACAGGAUAAUAGCAUGAAACCAUCAAAAAUUAUAGAUACGUUGGAGACGUAUCACCGCGGCUUAUCUUCAAACAACACCACACGUCCCCCCUCCUCCACAGUCCCCAAUCUACAGCCCCCCCAUCCUGCUCGAACUCUAGAUCACCGCCGGCGCCACUGCCGACGCCUCCAACCCCUAUCGGUCUGCCCGUGCCUCUGAGCUUAGAUAAUAAAGUUUAGGUUACCCAACGACUCCCAUAUCGUCGCCCCCUGAGUCUUUAGAUGAGACCUGCGAUGUCCCUCCCAGCCAGAUCCACAUACCCUACUCUAGACAGUCACAGCCUAAGCCCGACCACGUAUCCCGGGGAGCCCGACGAGUGUUCGGCCAAAAAUAGGCUUAUCAUGGCCUCUUCAGUGGACGUUGGCCAGCUGACCGUCAUUCGUCUUGACUUGUCGAUCCCGGAGCAGCACCUCAUCACGGAAGCCGGUGAGUAUGUUGACUACGUUGCCAUGCCGAAGGCUUCACGUCAGCAAUCUAGCUUAUUAUCGCAUCUCUGGAAAGCUGGCUACGAUAUCGAGCUCAUCGAUAGCGACGUCUUCACACGGGCCAUGUCACAGGUUAAGUAGUCCAUCCCAAACCCCUCUGCUUCUGCCGCCGUUAAUCUCUUCGAAGGCCCUGUCACUGAUCUCCUCCACCACGUCGUCAAGGAUUUGUGAUCCUUGCGUGCCAUUGAGCCCAUUUUGUCAUUUCUGAAGGACACGUUGUGCAUCGACGGCUUGGGAUCCUCAAUUUCUAAGUCAGAUCUCAUCGACCACAGCCAUGAGGAGGGCACCCACAAAGGGUCUUCCAAGGUGAAACGACGCAUCUACGACAUCAGAGAGCGCACCAUGGGUGUGUGCUCUUCCAACUGGAAGGAUCCUGUCCAUGAUAAGUGAGGCAAUAUCCUAUCAGCAAAUGUUACUUUUUCUAACUAGUCAAACCGUACCCUUUGUUGUAGUACAUUUUGCCAUGCGGUGUUUUAACUGUGGCGUGUUUAAUUAUUUCAGUUAUGCAAAAAUGUAAUGUUUAAUAGGGCUAUGUGAUGUUUAAGUAUGAAUUGUACACUUCAGUUUCACAAAUGGCUAUAUUUGGUUGUUUAUAGUGAGUUCAUGCCUUGUUUAUCUGUAUUUGGUUGUUAGGUUGCUUGCUGUGAGCAUUUGUCCAGUUUUCAAGCAGAUGCCUUUUUUAUCUGUAUUUUCUUGUUAGGCUGGUUGCAGUGAGCAUUUGUCUAGUUUUCAAGCAUAUGCCAUGUCUAUUUGUAUUUGCUUGUUAGGUUGGUUGAAGUGAGCCUCUGUCCAGUUUUCAAGGGCUAUAUUUGGUUGUUAUACUGAUCAUGUAUGCCUUGUUUAUUUCAGUUAUUCACAAUGUGAUGUUCAUUAUGUGCAAGUCGGAACUAUGCAGUUUGAUUUCAUCAAUACGAGUCAAACGAGUAUAUUUAGUUCUUACUAUAUUUAUAGUGACCGUUUGUCUAGUUUUCAAGCAUAUACUACACAUGUUGUUUAGUUCAAUUUUACACAUUUAUCUAGUGUGAUGUUUAAGCAUGAGCUAUGUUCUAUUCAUUUUCAACAAUACCAGUUUGAAUUGCAAUAUUUGGUGGUUGUUAGGCCUCUUGUAGUUAACAUUCCCUUCCAUUUCAUAUCCACUUUACCAUUUGGCGAUGAUGUUGUUUACCUUAGAUAUAUUUGUUUGAUGUUAAGGUUGAUGUACUUAUCAUACCUUUCCACUACUUAUGCAGGACAACAACGGGAGUGGCUAGCAUUUUCCACCGAGGUUACUUUCAUCCCUCGGCUUGUACUCCCUCGUCGUUGCAUAAUGUAGUGCAUAUAGAUCCAGGCCUCGACACUUUUUAGCUUCUAAUAUUGACUUGUUGCUUGUAGGUACAUAUGUCAUUAGCAAAGAUCCAUGCAUCGAACCUUUUUGCGUUUGAGGCAAUGAUUUAUUCAUGAACCAGCAUCAAGCGAGGAAAUUGAUAAGGAUUAUUAGCAAAAAGAUACGAACGGUGGCAAUCAUAUUAUUUCUUAUGGUCUAUCCAACACAAAAGUGAGCUGUAGGAUGGUAACUACGUACUCUCAAGCCUUAUCUUUUUUACUGCCCAUAAUGUGUUAUUACACAACAAUAUCUGAAUCUUUUUCAUUUGUAGUGAUUCCCAAAGUAGUUUACUCAAGAUUACAUCGCAAAGUACAUGAUUGGUCGACAUGCAAUGAAGGUUAAAGUAUUUCAUCGAGACUACAAUGAGAAUCAAGAAGUCCUAGUGAAGACAGUGAAGGAUGGGCGGCAACCAUCACAAGGGGUUGGCCUAGAGUCGUGCACACAUUACGCAUAGAGGAGGGCACAUCAUGGGCAUUCUGCUUCACCUUCUCCACCAACCAGAAUGUCCUUCGCCUCUCUCUUUAUAGUCUUUAGUACAACUGUGGUUCAUCAUUCUUUAGCUGGUGUUUUAACAUGGUUCGGUAUGAAUUAUGCAUUCGUGCUUGAACCUAUAUUUGUAAUAAACAUGGUUCAAUAUGAAAUAAGUGAUUACCUACUUUCAGAUUCAAAAUCUGCGAUUUUUAAAUGCAGGGAUUAAAUUAGGGAUAAAUUAUGUUCUGCAGGCCAAUACUCAGCACAAGGUUUGCGAAAUUCGGAACAAUGUUAAAUAGCAACAUUUAAAUUAGGAUGAAAAUAUGCUUUGUAGGUCAUUACGAUGCACACGGUCUAUAAAGCACAGCGUGUGUGAUAUACAUCAUAAUCCGACACGGUUCAUGAAGAGGAAACGUGUGUAACCAUGCACACAGUUGUCGUUUGCAAAGCGUGUGUGAUGUGGCGCGCAUUGUAAACGUAGAUCCAGUUUGGUACGUGUAUGGAAAAAUCCCGUGCCUCGAGUCUGCCUGGACUGCGCCUCGUAAUUAAGGUAAACCCACAAAAGUACGACUGUGAUGGUAACGCAAUCACAAACGAGUAGAAGGAUGGAGCGUUUGGUAUAUUGGAGAUAUCAGAAACAAUUGUCUGAAGACUUGUGUUUGGGAUAGAUGUCGGCAUCAUAUACGCUUAGUUAUGCAAAACAUAUGCAUUCCCACACCCUACCCACGACGGAUUUUGGGUCAUGUUGGAAGGACCCCCCCCCCUAUCGCCCACACUCACUAGGCGACGACUUAAAAUGACGUCAUGGAAAGGGGUUAAAAACCGUUUGUAUAGCACGUCGUUGCACCAGUGUUUAUUCACCUUUGGAUCUCAACACUGGAGCACUAGGGGCUCUGCCUGCCUCUGCUUGGGCCUCAGCUUCUAACUGAGCCUGUGAAGUAGCUGAAGUGGGAUGACUUCGGUCCAUCACCACAAUGUUAUCCUCGAACACUGGCUUGAGUGGAACGUGUUGACGAUCAAGUAGAUACACCGUCUUCCCAAUCUUGGAGUUGAUCAGCAUCUGAAUAUAGGGAGCGUAUCCACAAGACCUCUUUUGGUCAGCAGGAGUCCUUCUGAUUGCCUGAACAAUCAAGUCAAUCACCCUAAUCCUGGUGUGAGUGUCUACAUGAUGCAGCAUGUUGAUGGAGCACCCCGUGAUCAUCUUGUCAUCACUUGAUUUGGGCAUCAAGGUGUGCCUCAUAAUUGUGUUGGUGGUGGGUAGUCCUACUUGCAAAAAUUAGACUGAUCCAAGCUUGUGGGACUUCAAGUACUCCUUCGGUGUUGAGUUAUAAAUGUUGGCCAUGGAGUUGCGGUUCAUCUUGGCCUCAGUAUAAAUGUCCAAAUCUCUUUCCUCCACCUCUCGGGCUACUAAGAUGGUAGAUCACUCUUCAACCGUGGAUUGAUAUCUGGUGCCUUCUGUCAUCCAUACAAUUCUACCAUCUGGAUAGAAGUGAGCUGUAGAGUAGAAUUGCAUAAUCAUUUCAUCAUUCCAUGCUAUAAUUUUUCUUCCAACAAAGUUCUCAGUGUCUAUGGCCCUGAAAUUUUCUUGCACAUGAGGGAAGUAGUCUUCAUUGUCCUUGAUUGAGUCCCAAUCUACAUACCUCAUGCGCAAGAAAAUUUCAUUGAACUAGGUGGUUUUGGUAAUNNNNNNNNNNNNNNNNNNNNNNNNNNNNNNNNNNNNNNNNNNNNNNNNNNNNNNNNNNNNNNNNNNNNNNNNNNNNNNNNNNNNNNNNNNNNNNNNNNNNNNNNNNNNNNNNNNNNNNNNNNNNNNNNNNNNNNNNNNNNNNNNNNNNNNNNNNNNNNNNNNNNNNNNNNNNNNNNNNNNNNNNNNNNNNNNNNNNNNNNNNNNNNNNNNNNNNNNNNNNNNNNAUUACCAAAACCACCUAGGGAGAAGUUGUGCUUUUAUUUGCCGGCUUGGCGAACUAGGAGGUGUACCUCAUGCAGGCGUUGCGGGCACCAUCUCCCCUGUACACGAGGUCUCCACGUCCGGCCAAUACGGUGUCAGUCACUCCGGCUCUGCCGCCAAUUCCGGACCUCGUGGUCCUGGGUUUGGUGGUGCCGCCGGAAGGGGCGGUGACCUCAUCGUCGGUUAGAACCCCUGUUGGUGGGGUUCUCCCUCCCAUCUGAGGGUUUGUUCCAUGGACGCCGUCGCCCUCCUCCUUGACCGCGGGCGUGGCCAUGAGCACCGGGCCAAGGUCGAUGGCCCUAGGCAUUGGCGGCUCCUCCUCCUCUUCAUCGGCCAUCCUCUUCCCGCCGAGGUUUUCUCCCUGGUCGGCGUACACUCCAGCCGCUCCGGUAAGAAUCAAAACCCUAGCUCUACUCGUAGAUGUGUAGAUUAGGGUUUUCAUCAUUAGCAUGCAUUGUAUCAGAUUCAAUUCGACUUGAUUUGAUUCGAUUCCAAUUGAAUCAAAUUGACAAUAUUUGAUCCCUUUUGCUCGGUACUAUUCAUAUGCAGGAUAGUAGUGUUCUUGUUGUGUGUUUCAUGUUCAUGAUUACUGCUUGAUGUUCAUGUUGAUGAUGCUUAGGGUUCUUGCUUAGUGCUUGAUGUUCAUGUUUAUGAUGCUUAGGGUUCUUGCUUAGUGCUUACUUCUUUAGUGCUUGAUGUUCAUGUUGAUGAUGCUUACGGUUCUUGCUGUGUUUGAUGUUCAUGUUGAUGAUGCUUACGGUUCUUGCUCUGCUUGAUGAUCAUGUUCUUGCUGUGUUUGAUGCUUAGGCUUCUUGUUGUGUUUGUUACGUGCAUGGUAUUCAUGUUAGGUAGGACCAAGGUGUUUUCUACUUUAGGUAGGACCAAUGCCCAUGUUACUAAUGUAUGUCUUCUUACCUGUCAAGGUGAUGAAGACGAAGUAGGAUAGGGCCGGAGGAGGAGCCCCUGUCAUCACCAACGUCGAGGCCGUCGUGGACUUAAUCCCCACGAACCGCUGGCUCAAGGUGGUGAACCUGCCUGUUAGGGUCGCCUUCAUGAGGUAGCCGCAUUCAAGGGGACGAGCUCCUCGAUCCAGACACGAGGAGGGGGCCCAAGAGCCUCUUAGCUUCUAUGUCCAAAUCUGGGACGAGGAGGACCUCGCCAUGCUCAUCAUCCUCCCAAGUUCGUGGAGGUGAUGAAGGAGUGGCUGACGGUGAAGCUCCCGCGCGUGGUGACGCUCUCGGCCAACAAGUGGUGCAAGUUCUGGGUUCAGGUCCAGAACUUCGAUGGCCGAUGAUCCUUUGCUAGGGAUGGGAGUACCUCUGCCGCCGGCACAAGAUCGUCCUCGGCGACCUUGUCGUUUUGCGCAUCUCUGGACUCAAGGUGCAAGUCUACAACCAUGUCAACUCCAUCGGGUGCACGGUGCGUUGUAGCAGGCACAAUUGCAUCUGUGAUGUUGCUUGCACCCUCUGAACAUGUUGUUAGGAUGAACAUUAUAGUUACUUUGCGGUGGUGAUCUGAGACAUUACUGGGAACAUGUUACAUUUUGCCAGGGUUCAACACCCUCUGUUGAAGCAAGGGGCAAGGGAUGUCCUUGCUAUCUUAAAACUAUCUUUUGUUAGCAAUAUGCAUGCUAGUUAGUUAGCAGUAUGGUUUAUGUGUUGUUCAUCUGCUAGUUUUCUGCUGAUUGCUCCUGUUAACUUGCUUGUUUAGCUGAUGUUAGUACUCUGCUUGCUGUUGUGCAUAAUGUGGUGGUAAGGCCACCAUAUUUGAAUGGGUUGAGUGAUAUGUCUCCAACGUAUCUAUAAUUUUUUAUGGUUCCAUGCUAUUAUCUUGUCAAACUUUGGAUGUUUUGUAUGCCUUUUAUAUCUUUUUUGGGACUAACUUAUUAACUCAGUGCCAAGUCUGAGUUCAUGUUUUUCCGUGUUUUUACCCUUUUCAGAGGAGAAUAUAAAACGGAGUCCAAACGGAAUAAAACCUCCGAAAAUAUUUUUUCCNNNNNNNNNNNNNNNNNNNNNNNNNNNNNNNNNNNNNNNNNNNNNNNNNNNNNNNNNNNNNNNNNNNNNNNNNNNNNNNNNNNNNNNNNNNNNNNNNNNNUCUAUGAAUCUUAUUUGACUUUCUUCUGAUCUCUUAUAUGCAUGAUUUCAUAUCCUUGUAAUUCUCUUCGAGUUGUGGUUUUUGUUUGGCCAACCUGAUCUAUGAUUCUUGCAAUGGGAGAAGUGCUUGGUUUUGGGUUCAUAACGUGCGGUGACCUCACCCAAUGACAGAAGGGGUAGCGAGGCAUGCAUCGUGUUGUUGCCAUCAAGGGUAAAAAGAUGGGGUUCAUAUCUAUUGCAUGAAUUUAUCCCUCUACAUCAUGUCAUCUUGCUUAAGGCGUUNNNNNNNNNNNNNNNNNNNNNNNNNNNNNNNNNNNNNNNNNNNNNNNNNNNNNNNNNNNNNNNNNNNNNNNNNNNNNNNNNNNNNNNNNNNNNNNNNNNNNNNNNNNNNNNNNNNNNNNNNNNNNNNNNNNNNNNNNNNNNNNNNNNNNNNNNNNNNNNNNNNNNNNNNNNNNNNNNNNNNNNNNNNNNNNNNNNNNNNNNNNNNNNNNNNNNNNNNNNNNNNNNNNNNNNNNNNNNNNNNNNNNNNNNNNNNNNNNNNNNNNNNNNNNNNNNNNNNNNNNNNNNNNNGUUCUAUCAAUUGCUCGACAGUAAUUCGUUCACCCACCGUAAUAUUUGCUAUCAUGAGAGAAGCCUCUAGUGAACACUAUGGCCCCCGGGUCUACUUCACAUCAUAUUUUCAGCCUUACACUUUUACUUUGUUACACUUUCCGUCUUCAGAUCUCACCUUGCAAUCAAUCGUGAAGGGAUUGACAACCCCUUUGUUGCGUUGGGUGCAAGUUUGUUGUUUUUGCGCAGGUACGAUGGAGACUUGGCUUGAUACUCCUACUGGAUUGAUACCUUGGUUCUCAAACUGAGGGAAAUACUUACUGCUACUGUGCUGCAUCACCCNNNNNNNNNNNNNNNNNNNNNNNNNNNNNNNNNNNNNNNNNNNNNNNNNNNNNNNNNNNNNNNNNNNNNNNNNNNNNNNNNNNNNNNNNNNNNNNNNNNNNNNNNNNNNNNNNNNNNNNNNNNCUGUGCUGCAUCACCCUUUCCUCUUCAAGGGAAAAACCAACGCAAGCUCAAGAGGUAGAAGUGAGCAGAACACAAACAUGCAUGCAGCCAAUCAACUGUGGUUUGCAUCUGCUCACCCUUUAAGCACAAAUGCGGGCAACCAAACAACCGACCCUAAAAUGACUUUUGAUGCAAUGCGCACAACCAACAUGCAGAUGAUGGUUUGUUGCUUGUCUAUGUGUUAUAUCGAUGUUUCUUUUGAGGUACGGCUCGACGCAGUCGUCGCGGGCCUUCCACAAACACUCAAUGGAGGGGAAACUGAGAACACUAUCUUUUUUGGAUGUAAUCCUUGGCUCAAUGGUAGACAACACUAUGGUUGAUGUCUCUCACCACGGUUCGACGUCCCACUCAGGUUGGCUUUUAAUUCCCUUCAUGUUUUCUUUUUUUAUGAGAACACUAUCUUUUGAUUUCCAUGAGCACUUGCCAAAAUUAAUCGGUCCCCGAAUCCUCCACUCCGGUUGAACAUCGAAGGUUACACUUUAAGAGCCUGUUUGGGACUACUCUACUCCAGAAAAAUUAGCUCCGCUCUAAAAUAUGUAAGCCAAACGGGGUAGCUCCAUGAUAUACCGCUUUGCAAAAAAAUGAAUCUCGGGGCCAACUCCUUGUUUUUUGUGAAUCUCCCUAGGAGGUGCUUCAUAAAAGUAUAGAAGCUGGAGUUGAAAAAAUAUUACCCACCACUCCCACUAGUAAGUGAAUACCCCUUCAUUUCUCCCCCUCAUCCAAUCAAAUAGAUCAUUUCCAUCAAAUUUUCAAGGUUUGGAAGGAUCCAAGGUUGGAAAGAACGUAUGUUGUCACGAGUGGGGAAGGACAUAUUGAUCAAAGCAUGCGCUCAAGCGAUUCCAACCUUUGCUAUGUCUUGUUUCGAUCUGACGAAAGGAUUACGUCAACAAAUGAGUUCUAUGAUUUGUCGGUUCUUGUGGGCGCAACAAGAAAAUGAGAAUAAGGUACACUGGCUGAGUUGGGAGGUACUCACAAAACCAAAACGUGAAGGGGGCUGGGUUUCCUAGAUUUAUACGAAUUCAACAUGGCCAUGCUGGCUCGUCAAGCAUGGCGGAUCCUAACUGUUCCAGAAUCAUUGCUAAAAGCAAAAUGUUUUCCAAACUCAUCUGUCCUAGAGGCCUAACCAAUUUCAGACAUGUCAUGCUCGUGGAGGAGCAUCCUCAGGCCCGUAGGCUUACUCAAGGAAGAGGUCGUUUAGAGAAUAGGAGACGGAACUGAUGUACAAAUCUGGACGGACCCAUGGCUGACGAGAGAGGGAGCAACAUAUCGAUUACACCUAGGAGACAAAGCCUAUUAACAAGAGUAUAUGAGUUGAUUGAUCCGACCACAGAAAAAUGGGAUGAGCAACUGGUGAAAAAUACUUUCUGGGAAGUUGAUGCUAAUACCAUCCUAUCAACACCGCUCCGGGAUGAUUUUGAGAACUUCUAUGCUUGGCAGUAUGACAGUAAAGACGUAUUUACGAUAAAGUCAGCAUAUAAAUUAUAUAUCAAGUGGAGAGAUGGUCCUCAAGCCUCAACGUCAAACCAAACUGAUCCAAGUGUUUUUUGGAAGCGUAUUUGGAAGCUCCCGUCCAUCGCAAAAGUCCAGCAAUUCAUUUGGCGCGUGGCUUAUAAUAGUUUACCGGUGAAAAGAAAGAUUGCAGGCAGAGGUAUUGAGUGUGACACUCUCUGUGUUUGCUGCAAACGCUUUGAUGAAGACGGUGCUCACCUAUUCCUGAAAUGCAAGGAAACAAAGAAAGUAUGGGAGGGUUUAAAUCUGGAGGAGGAGCACCAUCAGAUGUCCCUGUGUGAAAAGACUUUUGUAGUAGUGGAACUGGUACUAGCAAUGCCUGAAGAAAAACAAAGACUGAUCUGUUGUUUGCUUUGGAGGCUGUGGACUAGGAGAAGGACAGUGCUCUGCGCCGACGCGCCGGCCGAAUCGUUCGGCUCGCCGCGCGCGGGCCGUUCGAUCCGCGAGCUGUACGCGAGUUGCACCGUUAGAUCUUCAUGCAGCAUUAUUUUCUCGAUGCAACAAAUUUCAUCCACGAUGCAGUAAUUUUUGUCAACGGUUGCAACAAAAAUAUAACUGUAGCAAAAAAAUAAUAUCAACAUGGUCGUAGCAAAAAAACGAAUCUGGUGUUGCGUGGUAGCAAAACAAAAAAGGUUGUAGCAAAACAAUCCGAUGAACUCGGGUUGAAACUCUGACAAACGUGUAUGCAACUUUUUUAAUGAACGGUUACAACAAAAAAUAAUACCGGUUGUAGCAAAAAUUAACAUGGUUGUAGCAAAAGUAAAAAAACAUCGAUUGUAACAAAAAUUCGACGAACUAAAGUUGCAACAAACAUAUAUGCAACUUUUUUACUGAACAAAUGUAACAAAUAAAAAACGUUUGUAGCAAAUAUAAACGCUGAUCGCAACAAAUUUAAGUAAACAAAAUUAUAUGCCUAAUCAGCUUGGUCGCGUACGGUUGGACAAAUGUAACAACUUAUUAUAUGCCUAAUAAUUUAAGUAAAAAAAAAUUAUUGCAACAAAAUAUAAACGCUGAAACGUUUGUCAGAGUUUGUGCCUCCCUACCACAAGGACAAGGCCAGCCAAAAGGGGGAAGAGAGAAAAAUACCCUCAUUUUCUCCGCGAACCCCAAAACCCUCGCGGCUACUCCCCUUCUUCUUUCCCCUUCUCCGGCUGCUUACCGGAUUCGCCUCGCAGGCUCGGGAUCCGGGCGUUCCGUGCGAUGGCCGGCGGCGACGGCGACGGCGGCGCGGUGGAGGAGCUGACGGCGCAGGAGACAGCGCUCUACGACCGCCAGAUCCGCGUCUGGGGCGUCGAUGCCCAGAAGAGGUCCCCCCCCNNNNNNNNNNNNNNNNNNNNNNNNNNNNNNNNNNNNNNNNNNNNNNNNNNNNNNNNNNNNNNNNNNNNNNNNNNNNNNNNNNNNNNNNNNNNNNNNNNNNNNNNNNNNNNNNNNNNNNNNNNNNNNNNNNNNNNNNNNNCCCCCCCCUCCCAAGAAAACCCAACUCCGCUCCUUCUUCUUUUUCUCUCUCGUUUACUCCAUUAAUUUUGUUUACCUGCCGGGUUAGCGCAUGCUGUUCUUGUCUCGAGAAUCCACCUUUUCGUCUUCUGGGGCUCUCGCGAGCUUCGAAACGAGAUUCAACCUUUUGCACAGUACCAAAAAGUUUCUUCUGUUAUGACUGGAUUUCCCCCAUGAUUAUGUGAACCCGGUCUCAUGGUUUUGGUAAAAAUUUUGGGCUUCUUUUUUCCUGCAAAUGUUGUUUGUUCUAUUUCGCUUUUGUUUGGGGGCAUGCGUAAUUUCUGCCUCUUCUGUAACAUUGCUUCUGUUUUUACCUGACUGCUAUAUUUGUGUUUGCUUGGAGCAGGCUAAGUAAAGCGCAUGUGCUUGUGUGCGGCGUGAACGGUACUACUAUUGAGGUGGGUAACUGAAAUUGCCUUUUAUUAUUGUGCUUCACUGACAAUUUAUCUUUUUUUUAAUCAUUAAUGGUCUGCUAUUGAUUAUAUCUGAAAAUAUAGCAUGUAAAUUUGGGUUCAAGGUGUUACUAUAGUACUCCCUCCGUCACAAAAUUCUUGUCUUAUUCUAGAUAUGAAUGUAUCUAGUCACGUUUUAGUAUUUAGAUACAUCCAUUUCUAGACAAAUCUAAGACAAGAAUUUUGGGACGGAGGGAGUAAUUAUUACGGCUCAAGGUUGUUAUAACUAAUAUCUGUGGAUUGGGCUACUGUUCUGUAUCUUGCAUAGUUGAAAUGCACAACUAUGUCAUUUUGAGUUUCUUUAUACUGUAUGUGCUAGCCUGCUAGCAGUUUUCUUUGUAAGUGCUAAAUAGUUUUCUUUGCAAGAUCGAAACAAUUAAAUUAUAACUUACUGUUCCUUUGAUUCUCAACUCAUGUUCCAUAUUGUCAAACCACACUUAUGUUCCAAACAGAGGUCCCCAAUUCUUCUUGCCAUCAAUUAAAUUUCAAUGUUUUAACUUUUCAUAUGAUAUCUACAGUCUGUUAAUUCAGUGAAAGCAAUCACAUACACUAAAGUUGAUUUCUCUCCUACUCCGCAGUUCUGCAAAAAUAUUGUUCUAGCAGGAGUUGGCAGUUUAUCCUUGAUGGACGAUCACGUAGUCACGGAGGAUGAUCUCAAUUCAAACUUCCUAAUUCCUCAUGAUGAGAGUAUGUAUGGUGGUAAAUCACGGGCAGAGGUUUGCUGCGAGUCCUUAAAAGAUUUCAAUCCAAUGGUCCGAGUUGCUGUUGCAAAAGGUGAGCUGUAUAGUUUGAUGCACAUUUUCCUUAGUUUGGUUAUAUUUAAGAAAUAUACGUUGUGUAGAGUGAUCAUGUCUUGUAUUCAUGAAUUGGUCUGUUCCAAAAUUACUGGCAGGAGUGUGUUUAAUUUAUUGUGUUAAAUGAUAAAACACUCAUAACGCUGCUAUUGGCGAGAAAGUUCUUGCAAGAAAAAUCAUUUAAUGAUGGGAACAAUCAGUUGUUAUGGUAUUGUACACUGUUCUACUAAUAUUGUUUCUGCAAGAUAAAUUUUCAACCAUUCUUUAUUGGCUAUAAAAUCUGAGAUUCUUUUUACAGUAUUGAUUGGAAAAGUUCUAACUAUCAUGUUAUUUUCUCCAGGUGACCCAUCACUAAAUGAUGGAACAUUCAUUGACAGGUUCGACAUUAUUGUAGUCAGCUGCGCAUCUCUUAAAACAAAGGUGUAGAUCCUUCUCUGAAGUAGUAUUUUCAUAACUUUUAGUUUCUUCUGUCACGUUCUGUUUCUUAUCCUUGCUGUUUUUGCAUCUGUGUUAUGUUUCUAGUUGUUUAUUAAUGACAACUGCCGGAAGAGAAGCAAGCAUAUUGCCUUCUACUCUGUAGAGUGCAAGGAUUCUUGUGGUGAAAUAUUUGUUGAUCUGCAGAACCAUAGCUAUCUUCAGGUAUGUAUUUCUUAGGACUUGUGUCAUCUAGUCUAUAGAUCCGUUGGUUGGCAUUGUAUUACUUCCUUUGUUCACAAGCCAAAACAUGUAUGCCUUCUUAUUUGCUUAAGAAAAAUACUGGGCUCAAUGGCAAUCACUCCCAUGUGUCAAUGAGUACACGAAAUAAUGGGGGGCUGAGAAUUGGGCGCUGCUGCUGGAGUUGGAUCCGUUAUUUGUGGGCUCAGGAUAUAAGGGAGCCCACAUUUCGGAUUUGGCUUUCAGGGGCUCUAAAGUUGGGGCUACUGCUGGUGAUACUCAGAAUGCUUAGAAUGCCUUCCAUAUUUAUGAUAACUAGUGGCAUGCAAAUUUUUGUCUUCAGUUCAUUCUUAAAAUGUACAUCCCUGAAAUUGAUUUUUAUUUUUCAGAAGAAGCCUGGAGGAGAACCUGAACAGCAGGAGUUGAAAUAUCCUAGUCUGCAGGUAUUGAUUUUUUUUUAGGUUGGUCUUUACUAGCAAAAAUGCUCGUGCGUUGCAACGGGACAAAAUGAGUUGACAUUCUUCGUUGUAAAGCAAUUACAUUUGGUAGAGGUUAAGUUUCAUGAUGACAUAAAAAUGGAUCAAUUAAGAAUAGAAUUACUUGGGGUGCUAGUUCGGAACAGGGGACAUGAAUCCUAGUCAACUAAUUUGGUGAACAACCCUAUCUUUAGAUAAGCAUACUGAUAGCAACAAUAGCAUACUGAUUUACUAACAUGAGAUGGCGUCCAACCAGAUUGUUGUGCCAUAGGAAGGAUAGCUAUACUAAUUCCUCCUCCUUCCUCCGUCGGUCUCUCCCUCCCCUCUUUUUAUUACACAAAGACUGCUAGUAGUGUCGGAGGGGUCUUCAGGCUACUCCGUUGCUGCACAAGCCGGCAACCAAUUUCUGUUCUUUGGUUCCUUCCUCGUUGGCAGGUGGUAGCAGCAGCCUGCACAAACCGGCAGCCAAUUUGUAUCAACUCGUAGAAGGGGUUGUUCUCGUCGGCUUCUUGCUGAACNNNNNNNNNNNNNNNNNNNNNNNNNNNNNNNNNNNNNNNNNNNNNNNNNNNNNNNNNNNNNNNNNNNNNNNNNNNNNNNNNNNNNNNNNNNNNNNNNNNNNNNNNNNNNNNNNNNNNNNNNNNNNNNNUGAACCGUCACCCGUCGUUGUCGUCGCCCUAUGCUACGUAGCAGGCCGUGGGGGUCUCCUGGAGUGUGCAGCCGUGGUGGCUGGCCAGAGCAGCAACACCCCCCUGUCGGUGCUGAAGUAGAGGACGUGCCAUGGCCUUUGAGCUGCUCUGUGGUGUCCUGAUGUGGCCAUUCACUCUUGGAGUGCGCGGCCGUGCUGGCUCCAUUCGCCGUGCCGUGCUUCAGAUCCGGCCAGCAGCCUCGCUGCAUACCCGAUUCACAAGUCCGCAAGCUCCGCCCCACCCCCGCCCCUGUACCAUUCCCUCCCCAUCCCUGCCCCCGCCCCUCUUCUCCCCAUCCAUCUUCCACCUCGCGGAGCGCAGCCACCGGACCACCGCGAAAGGUGAGGAGCAGGACGGGCGUGGGGGGCGUUAUCCACUUAAAAGGACUGCAUGAUGAAUACCCCAAACCACUGGGCCUUUUUUGCAAAACAAAAAAAAAAAACGAUUCGUUUUGACUUAAAAGCGUACUGCGGGUUGAUUACCUAAAACUAUAGGGACCUUUUUGCAAAACGGCCGCGACGGGUUUUCUGAUAGAAGCAAUAGCCGCUUUAUUAUUAGGUAGAGAUAGAGAUAAAGUCUUUCAGUAGCGUGCUCUCUUGUGUUGUACUCCCUCCGUCCCUAAAUAUAAGUCUUUGUAGAGGUUUCACUAGGAACUACAUACAGAUGUAUAUAGNNNNNNNNNNNNNNNNNNNNNNNNNNNNNNNNNNNNNNNNNNNNNNNNNNNNNNNNNNNNNNNNNNNNNNNNNNNNNNNNNNNNNNNNNNNNNNNNNNNNNNNNNNNNNNNNNNNNNNNNNNNNNNNNNNNNNNNNNNNNNNNNNNNNNNNNNNNNNNNNNNNCAGAUGUAUAUAGACAUAUUUUAGAGUAUAGAUUCAUUAAUUUUGCUCCGUAUGUAGACCCCUAGUGGAAUAUCUAAAAAGACUUAUAUUUAGGAACGGAGGGAGUACUCCUCAAGUUGGCGAUCCUUUGUUUUUCUGCCAUGUGCUUUUCUGGGGAGUAUUUAGUAUGCAACUUGUUCAAAUUACAUGAUACACAGAAGCAAUUCAAGUUAUGUUUUCAAUAUUAUAUAAUACUCCCUCUGUUCCUAAAUAUAAGUCUUUUUAGAGGUUUCACUAGGAGGCUACAUACGGAUGUAUAUAGACAUACUUUAUAAUGUAUAUUCACUCAUUUUGCUACGUAUGUAGUCCCCUAAAAAGACUUAUAUUUAGGAACGGAGGGAGUAUAAAAUUCAUGCUGAUAACUUCUACGAUAGAACAUCUAGUGUUUUGUAGCAGCAGAAAAAAAGAAGAUAAAUUCGGUUUUCCUCUAGUUCUGAUGUAGCUCUGUGAUGCCCAUCUACCCUUUUCUGGAAAGGCCUGCAAUUUCUAUUUUGGAUAAUACAUUUGUUGAAGCCUUGAAGGUAGCUCUGGUCAUUGGUUCUUUUUAUACUGCUUCUGUAUAGUGUAUACUAACUUAAAUUGUUUGUUCCAUGCAAGUACUUAUGCGUGCUUGCUAUGUGUUUGUUGCCACUUAAGUACUGGUUCAAUUUGUUAUUGUACUCCUGUCCUGUUUCUCCUGUAGUUCAGUUGUACAAUAUUGCUGGAAUACCUGCAUACGAUUUACCUGCAGGAACUGAUAUCACCCCCUAUUUGAUGCUUCGAUUGCCAAAUAUAAAAUUUCAAUUCCUUAUGAUUUGCUUAAAAAAUUUCAAUAUAACACCCUUCUAGAUGCUUCAUGUGGCAAUUAUUACAAUUUGAAUCGCAAUGUCUGCAUUUACAUUUGGUUUUCUUUCAUACAGGAAGCUAUCUCUGUGCCCUGGAAGGAUCUGUCCAAAAAAACAACUAAACUGUACUACGCGAUGAGAGGUGAUGAUAUGAGAACCUAAGAUACUGUUCCUAAGGUUUAUCUUGUCUAAUAAUGGCAACUGUUUUUGUUUACUUUCUUGGUAUUUUUUCAUGGGAAAAUAUCAGGUGAAAACUGGGAUCAAUGUGAUUCAUUUGUAUGUACAUCAAUGAAUAUUUAGUGGAACAGAUCAAAUUGGAUUGUUGUUUCACUAGGUAUUUUCUUUUUCAUAUCUCACAAAGCAAAUGAACUUGCUCCUCUGCGGACCAUGUUCAACUGGUUCUGUGAGAUUUUCUUGAGGACUUCUAUAUUUGUUUUUCACCAAAAAUAACUGAUUUGCAUGUUCACUUGAUCUGCCACCAAGAACCCUUUUGACUGUUACCUAUCCGUAUUUUCCCCUGUAUUGGUUUUGUAACUAACAUAGACAUGUCUGUUUGCAGUCUUGGAAAGUUAUGAAUCAUCUGAAGGGCGCGACCCUGGUGAGACAUCACUUUCUGAUCUACCCGCACUUUUGGCUCGGAAGAAGGAUAUGUGUGAUAGAAUGGUACAGCUUUGGCCGUUUGUCGUACUUUGAGUAUUUUAGUCACAUCUCUUCAGAUAUUUUACACGUCACUUUAAACUGCAGUCUUUGGACGAGUCUAAAGUUCCGACGUCUCUCCUGGAACGGCUUCUAGCAGCUGGGAAAAAGGAACAUCCUCCUGUAUGUGCAAUCCUUGGUGGCAUUCUUGGUCAGGUAGGUCCAAUCUUCCAUCCUUUAUUUUCUGUUUCUUCUAUCGUUUAGUUUUUGUGCUAGCUGGAAAAUAAGCACAGUAAUUUAUAUCAUUUAUUUACGUAUAGAUCACUAUCUUUUAUAUUUUUCAUAUGUGUAACAUAAUAGCUCAACAGGAAAUAUAGUCAUCUCAAGCAAUGUAUGUCAUCGAGUUACUUGGCCAAAGCUGUACCAUUCUAUCACACAAAGAUUACAUGUCGUAUAAAGUGACAGUGGUAUAUUGUAUAUCUUACAUUUGUCGGUUAAGGUUUAGUUAAACUGGACUUGUCCUGACUCGGUUGUAUGAGUUGAGAACAUAAAUGUGCAAUGUUCAGGCGGCCCAAGCUAUUACUUUUAGCCCAUGUGUCACAUGCUAUUUGCUGAAAUUGUUUGUUGCAUGCACCGACACCAAAAGCAUUUCACUAAACCUGGCAGACAAGUUGCAUCCUCUUCCUGUUGCCCUUUCAUUUCAAGCCUUCUUAUAUGUGAAUAUUCUCUAUAUCAUAGUGGUCACGGCUUUGUACUUCGUUUUUUGGAUCUAACAGGAGGUGAUCAAGUCAAUAUCUUGUAAGGGCAAUCCAAUCAAGAAUUUCUUUUACUUCGACGCCGCUGAUGGUAAAGGGGUCAUGGAGGACAUCCCCCCAACUCCUGAAGACUGAAUCACGUGAUACCUAACUCUCAUCCGACAUGGCUCGCUGAUAAUUGUACCCAAUCAUCAGAGUCGAACAUGUGACAACUCUAGUUCG
rnacentral:lncRNA from 1 species